rnacentral:lncRNA from 1 species
AGGGAACUAAGCCGGAGGAAGAAGAGGAGUCUGAGAAGUCUAUGUCAGAGGUGAAUGAUGAGGAUGAUGAUGAAGAAGGCAGUGGCGAGGUUUUUUUUGGGGAUGUUUUGAUUUUUAGUUUGACUUGUUAUCAUUGUUAUGUGGUUUUUCUUGAAUUUGUUUGUUGAUUUAUUGUUUUUGGUUUUGUGCAGGAGGAUGAUGAUGAAUAGAAGUUGAAGGAAGAAAUUAGCAUAGUCAUGUUAGGCUGUGACAAUGUUUCAAACAACAUAUGUUAAUGCUUUGUGCUUCCAUGUUAAUUUUUUUGGAUGCUUUCAUCAUCUUCAUCAUCAUGUAAGAGAAUCAUGUUGCUUCUCCCUCGACAUUUUCUUAUGCCUGCCUUUCAAAGAAUUAAUAGCUGUAGGUGGGAGAUUCACUGCUCUAUAUGUACUGUGUUCUAAAGCUUAAUGAUUUAGCUAAGGCGUUCCAUCGUUUGUAGAAAAAUCCCAUGUUUUUUGAUGAUGAAUGGUGGUGAUGGUUUUUUCUUAUCUUUUGUAAUGCUAAGGAAAUUAGUUACAUUUGCUAUAGUUAAUCUUUAACGCAUUUGCAUGGUUAGGUCAUGAUUGGAUUGCAUGAUGUCAUAUGGCUUAUGAUUGAGCAGCUUGGAUGCUGAAGUAUGUUUUUAAUGAAUGGAAUGUCUUAAAAUAAUUUAUUUUGAUAAUAAGCACAUUGAAGUGCUAAAUUGUUUGUCAAUCUGUGGCUGCAAAUUGGUAGAGUAGAAUUCAUCCUUUGUGGCAUUGCCAGUGCUAAAUUUCAAGCAUUCAAGUGCAAUAUAAAUUAUCUUUUCUGGUUACAAUGUGUUUGGUGCCUUUUGCCUAAUCACAUAGUUAUUGUUUGGCUCAGAAAAAUGUUAUGCUUCAGCUCCUUUAUGCAGUUUUGGGGAAAACCUUUUUGACUUUUUACUUGAAGAUGGUGCUGCCGGACAAAAGUAUUUGCUGUUUUGCUCGCUGUGAUUAAUAGAUUAAACGGCCAAGCAAUUUCUAGUCAUUUGUGGGUUGGGUUAAUUUUUACAAAUUGGAAUAUGUUGGAUGGUUCAGCUAUAUAUGAUUGAUUUUUGGAAAUAUAUUUACUUUAUUCACCAUCCCUAAUAAGUAAUCAAUUUUUAUUUCCGCCGACUGACUACCUCAGCAAUUUUAUUUUGUUCUAGUUUUAAAAUUGGUAUCGAUUUAAUGCAUGAUAUUUAUUAGCUAAUUUAUUGGCAAUAAAUUAUGAAUAGUGUAGAGGAUCGAAAUAAAAGAUGGAGAAGACAUUUUGGAAUAAGAAUUGGGCUUAUUAUUAGAUGGAGACUGUUCAAUGAAUGUGUAUGAAAAUAUUUGAAGAAAAUAGUAAAAAAAGGUAUUUGGGUAAAUAUUAUAUGAGGUAACAUAUUACUAUGAUAGGCUAAUCAAGGUAUAUUUGAUUGUUAACGAUGAAGCAAGUACAAAUAGAUCUGUAUGUGUCGAUAAUAAAUGGUUGUAAUUUGAAUUUAUUGAGUGAUUGAAUAGGCGUGGUUGGUAGGAAAGAUUUCAUAAAAAGAAAAUAAAAAUACCCACGCGAGCUACGGACACACAAAGACAAUGGGAAACCUAGAAAAUUAAUUCGAGAGGGGGGCAAUUGAAAAAGAAAAUAUUAAGAGGGCAGUAUCCAACAAUAACCUAACAAAAAGAAAUACCAAUUAUAAAUAUUUUUUCUCAAAAUUGUCGGCAAAAUCCACAAAAGAAUAAUUUUUAUAUACAUGAACCUGUCAAAAAAUUGUCACUCUAAACAGGAUCAUCAACGUACAUAAAAAAGAUAAAAUUGAUCUAAUUCAUCGACCUCAAAAUAAUUACUAGCCUUUUUGAAAAUUGAUCAUUAUUCAUCAACCAAACGUUAUUAAAAUUAAAUUAUUGUUACUCCAUAAUCAUAACCCCAGCAAGAGAAAUCAAAAUCAGUCAAUAACCCCAAUAUUUUCAUUUUUUCAAAUCAGCAGCGGCUUUCGAGGAAGAGGAAGAAAGGCCAGUUGCCUAGUGACUUUUCUAGCCCGUAAAUCCACCAUGUAUUUUUUCAUUUUUUUAAUAAUCUAACAGCCGUUCGAUUUCUGACUCUAAACUAUUAUUUGUCCGUUAGUUACGAGUCCCCCUUUUAAAUGUAUUGACAGAACAGAUACGUGAUAUUUUUUUCGGUAUUGGAAGCAGAUUUUUCACUUUAGUGCCGGCAGAAUCUAAAUUCUUUUAAGAGCUAGAUAUUUAGAAUAAAAUAUUAAUAUAUUGUAAAUAUCUUCACUCAUUAUCGAGUCGGAUACGAUGGAUGUUGGGCACAUGGGCAACGGACGGCCAUCUCACAAAUUUAACGAAUUGUCGCGGCGCAGCGUGGUUUAAAGUUAUUCCUCUGUUUGUUAAACCUGUACAACACCAUUCUCCAUUCAAACGAGUGUUGAAUUUGACAAAGAAAAAUAAUCAUAAGAGUAACGUUGGGGUAAAUUUGAGGAACGUAGACAGAUUCUGACAUAAGCAAGCCUCCGUGAUGGGCAAUCAUAAUACAAAAAUAGUUAAAUUUCAACACAGAUACUGAAUAAAUAGGUCUCAAUUUUUGAACCUUCUCUUAAGAAAAACAUAUUUACUUUAAUUAUCUAAUAGACACAAUGUAUUUAAAUUAUUCUGCCAUUCAUAUAUAUACAUAUAAUGAUAUAUUUCACACAGAGAUCUUUCGUCACACAUCUGAUUCUCGGUGUUAUGUUUGUUUUGCCUUUGAACAUCUACUUAAUUCUGCAAGAAUUUAUAAGAAUUUAACCUUAUACAAUUCUUUUUAAAGUGGCCUCAAUUCUCUCUCACAUAUGUUAUUUCUUAAUUAAGAACAACCCUUAUUAUGUGCUCAAAUUCUCAAUGCAUAAGAAUCAUUAAGAUCAUAACUCGUUCUUUCUCCUACAAGCAUCAUUAUAUCAUCAUAGAAAUAGAUACUAGGAACCCUUAUAGUGACCUGGCUUAGUCUUUAAUAACUGAGUUUUCCCUUUGAACUAUAACUCUAUGGGCUUUAGUCUUAUUUUCUUCUAUGAUUUUCUACUAUCUCUCUGUUUAAUUCUUUAGUUAGUGAAUUUAUAAUGUUAUCCUUUGACUUCAUGUACUCAAUAAAAAUAACUACAAUAAAGAGUAAUUCCCUAAUGUUAAUUAUGUUUUUGAUGUAUAUGUCUAGACUUACUAUUAUACAUAUUGCUUUGUGCGCUUCCAAUUACAGAUUGAUUAUCACAGUGAAUGCAAAUUGAUGGCACAAGUUUUGGCCAACUUGGAAUAUCCUCUAAGAAAUUUCGCAGCCAUUAUACUUUUUCACCAUAUUUAUCCAAUGCAAUGAAUUCAGAUUCUGUUAUAGAUCUAACUAUCACAGUUUUUUCUAGAGAAUUUCCAUGAAAUAAUUGUACCUGCUAAUGUAAACAUAUAGUCAUUGGCAGACUUUUAAGUCUUUCACAUAAGACAUCCACUUUGCUAUUCAUAUUAAUGUAUCCUUCUAGUACAAUUGAAUAUCUAGUAUAGUGCAUCUCGUAAUUUUGAGUAUAUUAUAAGCAUCUGAGUACCCUUACUAUUGCUUUCUUGUGGUUAGCCCCUGGUUACUCGUAUAUCUACUGAACUUCCUCAUUGUAAAAAUUGAGUUUGAUUUUAUAUAGCUUAUUAAGUACAUCAAAAUCUAUAUCACUCUAGAAUAUUCUAUUAAAGGAAUUUUAGUCACAACAAAAGUAUCUUUGUUGAAUUUACUAAGUUUUUUUUUUCACAUAAUAUAAUUGACUAAGAAUAAGUCCAUUAGAAGUCCUUAAAUUUUUUAUUCUCAAGAUGACAUAUGCUAGAUCUCAUGUAUUUCAUGUCAAAUUUAUACUUCAACAUAUUCUUAGUAGACUUAACAAUUUUAUCAUUAUUCCCAACAUUGAGCAUGUCAUCAAUGUAAAGCCAUAAAAUAGCUUAGCUAUUUUCUAUCUCUUUGAUAUAUAUACGCAUAUUUCACGUUUGUUGAUCUUAAAACCAUUUGCCAUCAUCAUUUGGUCAAAAUUUUCUUAAAACCAUUUUGCAUAAUCCUUAGGUCAAAUCUCUCAUGCUUAUUUCAAUCCAUAAUGACUUUACUAAUUUACUGACCUUAUUAUUAUUAUUAUUAUUUUGGGAUUUUGGAGACUGUUCCAUAUAUAUUUCUUCAUCUAAGUCCCCAUUUAAAAAGAUUUUUUUUACAUCCAUUUGAGUACUUCAAGAUUACAUAAAGUCGCAAUUGCAAGUAUCAUCCUAAUAUAAUUUAUUCUCGUUACAAAAGAAUAUAUAUCAAAAUCAUCAAAGCCUUUUGUUGUUUAUAACCUUUAAUUACAACUCUAGCCUUAUAUUUGUUAAUUGAUCCAUCAACUUUCAUUUUUUCCUUGAUAUCACAGAGGUUUGCACCCUAGAUAAAGUUCCACAAACAUUUAAGUAUGAUUUUGUAAGAUAGAUUUAAUUUAACUGUUAAUGGCGUUUUUUCACAAAGUGUCUUCUGGUGAAAUUAUAAAUCUUCCUUGAAGCUUUGAGAUUCACUUUCCAGUAGCUCUUUUGUUACAUUUAAGUUCAAUCUCAACCUAUUAUUCAUAUUCUUAAAUUUCUUCUUGUUCUAGGUUCUGACUAUCUUCAACAAUAGGCUCAUGUGUUCAUUUAAUUGAACUUGAAUCAUCUUUGAAUUUACAAGUAAAUACAUGUUCAAAAAAUUAUGCAUUUCCUAAACAAUAGUUUUUGGUCCUAUCUUCAUAUUUGUAGGUGGAGAAAUGACCACUUUAGCAAGACACCUCAACACUCAUAAGAAUUUAUAGCAAGUUACUUUACCUUUCAAUAAUACGUAAGGAAUUAUCUCUUUUUCCUUUCAGGGCACUUUAUUUAAAAGUAAAUAGCUAAUAAAACCAACUUCUCUUUACAUAUCCUAAGGUACCCCAUAACCUAUCAAUAUUGCAUUCAUCAUUUUUUUCAAGGUAUGAUUUUUUUGUUAAGCAAUCCUAUUAGAUUGAGAUGAAUAAGGAGCUAUGAUUUGAUGUAUAACUCUAUAUUGUUAAUAGAGUGAUCCAAAUGGAACAACAUAUUCACCACCAUGAUUUCUUCUCAACACAUUCAUUUUUUUGUUUGGUUGAUUCUCAACUUCAUUUUAUAGAGAAUAAAUUUCUAAAUAAAUUCAUCCUUACUUUUUAACAAAUACACAUAACAAAAUUUUAUAUAGUCAUUAGUUAAAAUUAAAAAAAUAUUUAUGCAUUUCUUAAUUAGAAUAUUAUAUUUAUGUGAAUAUCUGGUAUAUUCCACUUAUACACUAGAAAUCAAGAUGGAGGAAUGAUCACUUUAGCAAGAUACCCUCACACUUAUAAAUAUUUAUUAGAUGGCGUUGUACCUUUCUGUAAUUCAUAAGAGGUUUUCUCUAUUUCCUUUUGGAAUACUUUAUUUAAAAUGUAAUUAAAUAACUUCUCCUCACACAUCUAAGAUAACCCAAAACUUAUGAACAUUACAUUAAUCAUUUCUUUUAAGGUAUGAUAUUUUCUUUUAGCAAUCCCGCUAGAUUGAGCUAAAUAAGGAGAUGAGGUUUGAUGUAUGAUUUCUUGUUGUUAGCAAAGUGAUCCAAAUAGAACAACAGACUUACCACCAUGAUUAUUUCUCAACUCCAUCAUUUUAUUAUUUAGUUGAUUCUCAACUUCAUUUUUAUAUAGAAAAAAUUUCUUUAUAGCUUUUUGUCUUUGUCUUUGUCUUUUAACAAAUACAUAUAACAAAAUCCACCCCUCGACUAAAUGGAUUUAAAGCACAUAUAUCGUUGUGUAUUAGAUCAAGUGGUUCAGUGCUCCUUUUAAUUAUUUGAGGGCAUACGAUUCCCUUAUGUUUUGUAUAAAUUUGUUAGUUUUGCCUCAACACAAGAUUCCCACUUAUGUUUUGUAUAAAUUUGGAAUAAGGAUAUAUGAUUUAUGUUAAUUAAUUUACGAAAAUAAUUAUAAUUAACAUGUCCUAAUCUACCAUGCAAUAAAUCAAACGACUCAAGAAAAUAAGGCUAAUAAUAUAGAUCAUGAAGAAAUUGCUUCGUUAUUCUUAAGUUCUACCUUAGCCACAAAAAUGAUAAUUUUCAUGUCAUUAUUUUUGUUGACUUAUUCAAUUUAAAGUCUUAUAAUUAGGUCUUCAAUGCUCAUUUCCUUUCUUUUAUACUUUGGAUAACUCUUCAAAUCUCAAUUUUGUUUCAAUUCAACAGAAAUUGAAUUGAAUGUCCACCCCUACCCUAAGUGUCAAACAUUUUACUGAUCUUACUAGUUACCACUUUAACCAUUGAUGGUUGUUUGAUAUUGAUAAUAUAAAUACCUUUAAUUAUUUAAUUGAUAUUGUUGUUAGACUAUACAGAUUUAAUUUCAAUUCAAUUCAAUCCUAGUGUAAUAAAAAGAAAAUGGCAAAAUCACCUUUAGUCUUUUCAUUUUUACUAAACAAAUUGGUGCGUUUCGAGAUUCAAUUUCUUAUUAACUCAAACACGAGUUUGAGUAUUUUAUGAUUAAAAGAGCUCACGGAGAAUAUUCUGAAUUAUCCAUGCAAGCAUAUUUCCUCAACAUAUAUCUUACUGAAAAUUGGCAUUAUAAUAAUUAUUUGUAUGUUAUUUUUUCAGCAUAUAUAUUGUUAAGCUUUCUUAUAUACUUAAGAGAUUUAGCAUGGGUUGUAAACAAAACAUUUGCAUUAGGUAUACACCCAACUUUCUUAGGGUGUAUUUGGAAGUAAGAUGUUAUAUCUUUUAAGUUGAAGUGGAUAAAACCCAUAAAUGUGGAGUAAAACUGAGAAAAAAAAAGACGCUAAGCUGCCAAAACACAGUUGUAAGGUGUUACCAAACAACUUUUAUUUUUGAAUUACACAUCAUUCCCAAAUGCAUCCUUAAAUUACUCAAUUGUUGUUUUCCUAUUUGUUUGUUAAAAUUAACACGUGUCCAUGUGUUUGCUUCAUCACUAAACACUGCCUCUUUAUUAUUCCCGUUGGAUAUGCCGAGGGCUGAUAGUUUCAUUCAUCUCCAAAGACUCAAACCUUUAGCAUAAAUUACUUAAACAAAAUAACAGUUGUAAAAUUUCGUUCCUUUUGUGUGUGUGUGUGUGUGUGUGUGUGUGUGUGUAUUACAAUUAUGAAAAUAAUAUAACUCUUAACAUCUUAUCAGGCUAGAGUAUGCUCUCACAUUUUGUUUAAUAUUGACUUAAUAUAUAUCAUACUCCAAAGUCCAAACAUAAGAUACAGCCCGUGCACGUUGAAAUUCCAUACCCACUACCCAGCAAAGAAAUAACAUGGGUUUUGUACUAUAUUUAAUUAAUUCCCACUAACCAACCCCUACGUAUAAUUAUUAGCCAAUUUUUUGAAUCAAAAUCUUGGUUUAUAAUAUGAUUUUUCAUCUCAUAAACAGAAUGUGCGUAAUUUCGUUUUUUUUUUUCCUUUUUUUUAAUUUUUAAAUAAUAAAGUCAUAAUAGUAUAGAAAAAUUUCUAUUUGAAGUGAAUUAGAUAAUAAUAAGAUGUAAAAAUUAAAAUUUUGAAUAUAUAAAAUAUUUGCUAAUACAUUUAUAAAUGUAUUUUAUGCAUUUUCAUAUUUUGAAAACAUUGUGCAUUAGACUCAUUAUCAAUGCUAUUAAAUACAUUAGUUUCUAUAUAAAUAACCAAAACAAUCAUGCAUCCAUUUAUCUCCCAUUCAAUUCUAGAGCUGCGAAUUUCAUUUACUAAAGAUAUUUUUUCUAUGAAUAAAUAAUUACCCAUUAUGUGAGUUACUAUUUAGGAUAAUUUAUUUGUGAACGAGCGUAACUUAAUUAUUUUAAACACUCGUGUAACACACUCAUUAUUCAAAAUAUAAUUCUCUUACCAUUAACCCUAAAACUUUUGUUUCUAACAUGUUAAAAAAUACUUCGUUGAAUGUGCAGCAAAUUAAUUAAAGAAAAACUAUUAAGUAAAGUUAUUUUUUUUAAAAUUAUUUCAAAGUAUAAUUAAUUCCAUUGUUGUAAGUUAUGCUAAAUUUCUUGAAAAUUUUUCUCGUGUGUGCUAAAUAUAUUUAUUGGUGUUUUAAUAAAUAAAUUAAUUUAAGUGUUUUAAGUAAAGAUUUUAUUAGUAUUUUAAAGAAUAUACAUCUGUAAAAUUUAAUUCUUUAAGUUUAGUAGAUGACUAUGCAAAGUAGUAAAGUGUUCAAUGCAAAUAAUUUCGCUCUUUCUUUAUUGUGGUUGUGAAAAUUGGAAGAAUUGAUGCAGAUGUCACCAACAAAUAUACUAAAAUUAAUGUUUAAUUUGUGAUUAAAAGGAUGAGAUAUUGUUAUUUUUAAAUAAUAUAAAUUUAUUUUGAAGAAUGAAAAAGUAUUUUCGGUUGUGGGGAGGUGGGCUAUUAUUAUUUUUAAUUAGAGUAUCGGCUUUUGCAAUAAUAAAAGUUGAAAUUUAAAUUUAUGAAUUUUAUAAGAAUUCUUUUAAUACCUUAAUGGGGAUCAGUUAGAAAUUUUAAAUAUAUGUUUUCCGAGCCUCCACUGCUCACGUGCUGGAUCCUCCGCCGGUGGUAAAUGGUAUGAGGUACUGUAACACAAAACAGAAUGGCAUGGAUGGGUUUUCAUGUUGUCAUGCAAUGGAAUAACAUGGCGGACACCGAACAGUCACAUCACAUCCCUCUGACUUGGCAGCCAAUAAAUAAAGCAAAGCAAGACAAUUAGACAAAGGGCAAAUAUUUUACGCCCCUUUUGCUCUCCGGUUGCAUUAAUUUACAGGACAAUAGGUUCUUUUUCUUUUCUUUUUCGAAUUUAAAGAUUACACUAGUUUCUCUGAUCAACGGGAUCAUUUAACCAAUGACUUGGCAGGGCCUACCCGCCUACGCCUGUGAGUGAUUGUAGUUCAAAAGAAUAAGAAGAGUAGAAAUGACUUACCCGCGAGACCCGCAAGUUAUAGCGUUAAUUUGGCACAGUCAACUUUCUAAUUGCAUUAAACUGAGCAAUUAACUCCGCCGCCUGUCAAUUACACACUUUUUGUUUGUUUCCAAAAUAAAUAUAUAAUUCAGAGUGAGUGUGUGUGUGUGUGUUGGUGAUGGAAUGGUUUCUAUACCCUUGCACUCUAAAGUGACUUGUUUCUUCUUCUCCAAUCUAUAAAAUAAAUUUAUUUAUAUAAAAAUGAAAGAAAUGGUUUGAGUUUGGAAGUGGGUAGUGAAGGGUGGGAAAAAGAAAAAAGAGAAAAAGCCAAAAAGAAAAAAAAAAGAAAAUUCAAUCAAUGAAAAUGGAGUGGCCAAAUUUUCAACAAGGAGGAGAAAUGGAGAGGCAGUUUCAGCAAGAUGGAGGGGACACUAGUAAUGGGUUGUGCGUGAAAGUGAUGACUGAUGAACAAAUGGAGUUGCUCAGGAAACAGAUCGCUGUUUAUGCUAUGAUUUGUGAGCAGCUUGUUCAGAUGCACAAAGUCUUCUCUGCUCAAAAUGAAAUCGCUGGUCUCUUCUCUUUCUCUUUCCUCUUUUAGUGUGUUUUUCCAUUAGUCAUUGCAAGUUUCUGUUGCUUGAUUUUGCUCCGACUUGCUUUCUUAAUUUAGGUGAUACGAUAACCAAUCAGUUUAUACAUGGAAAAUCCCAAAUCCAUACUUGAAUCAUGCAAUAAUUGAAUCCCAAAUUAACACGAGCAUAGAAUCUCUGAUUGAUAUAAUGAAGAAAUGAUCAUCUUUAAGUGGAUGUAGAACACUUGCAAAUUCUUUCCUUUUUCGGCAAAGCCACUGCCUCCCCUUAUAUUCCGGAAAGGAAAUUAGAAACUUGCUAUGUCAUAUUCAUAGGCACUAGCCCAGUUUUCUGGGAAAAAAGAAAGCAUGAUUAUAGUAUAUUUUUUGGAGAAAUUGGAAAUUGAUUUGAGUCUUUUGAAACCCUAUCGAAUACGCUUGUCAACGAGUAUCCAAUUGCUUUUGCUUCAGCAGACUUUCCGUUCUGUUGCACCAUUCACUAGUUUAGCUACUUAUCCCAUCAAAGUCUUGCUAUUAUUCUCGUGAUUCAUUUAUCGAAUCAAAUUCUACUAGGACCUUGCCGUAGGCCCGCAAAAUUUUGAGGCCUUUUUUGUCUUGUAGGAAUGAGAAUGGGGAAUCCAUACUUUGAUCCCUUUGUGGCAUCUGGCAGCCAGAAGCUCACUGCCAGGCAACGGUGGACCCCGACACCUGCACAGCUCCAAAUCCUUGAGCAUGUUUACGAUGAAUGCAAGGGGACUCCUCGCAAACAGAAGAUCCAGGAUAUGACCGCUGAAUUGGCAAAACAUGGCCAAAUUUCUGAAACAAAUGUGUAUAACUGGUUUCAGAAUAGGAGAGCCCGUUUAAAGAGAAAGCAAUCAGGUGUGGUUCCAAACAAUGCAGAAUCAGAAGCAGAGACAGUGACACAUGCUGAAUCCAGGAAGCAAAACCCGGAAAGCAUCCAGUCAUUGGAGGAUUCAGCACCACCACCCAGGGACGAAGAUAUCUAUCCUCAAAGUCCUGAUUUAGGUAAUAAAUUUUUCUGCUUCAAUGUUCUGCUCAACAAAUAUAAACUUAUUUUCAGUCACAUGUAAGUUAAGAUUCAUAGGCAGUUUUUGUUGCAUGAGAGGUAUGCAAAAUUUCUGUUUUUGAUCCUUGUUACUUAUACUGAUGUCAAUUGGGCGCACCCUCAUACAAAUGAGCAAAAGAUUUCUGAAACAAUCUGGGGUUUUUGUGUAGGGAUUGACCAGAUGAUUGGUAAGAUGGAAAUUCCCGGAAGCUUCAGUUUUCACUGGCAGGUAGACCGAUAUGACAUGCUUGGAUGAUGCCCUUCCAGAAGGCAGUAGCUUAAUUGAGGAGGGUGAACAUGUCUUUUUGCUAAGAAAUAUAUGACCUACUAGCUGAAAAUCUACAAAGACAAUUGAACGUGGCCAAACUAUAUUGUUGUUGAAUCUAAAAUACACCUAUAUUCUAAUUCUGAUGAGCUUGGUUUGUUGGAGCUCAAAAAACUUUCUUAAGUAGUUAAAGUUGAUUGCAUGGAAGAAAUAUUAAUUUGUGACUGCAUCUACCCACGCAUUCGACACCAAGAUAUGUACAUAUAUGCAUAUAAAUACUUAUGUAUGUUAAAUGUUUCUUUUUAGCUUUUGUGCUCAAAUUUACUUAUUCUAGGGAGUGCAAUUCUAAUCUCACCAGGGUGCUAAACAAUAAAUAUGAUGUUUUUAUUAGCUAACAUCAUUUUUAUUUACUGGUUACAAGAAGUGCUUUACAACUUACAAAUCAUCCGAAAUGCAACCAGUAUGCCAAAAUUGUACAAUCAAGCUCCUGCUUGUAAUUGCAGAAGUGUGGGAGCUGAACAUUAAUUAGGCUGCACCAGCUGAGCUUGAUGACCAUAAAGGACCAAAAUGGUAAGGAAAUUCUUGACUUCUCUGCCUCUACUCGUACAUAUGUCCAUGGCAUAUACAAAAAGCCAGAAACAUACGAUCGUCUACAAUCUGAUAAUUUUGUGCAACAUACAAAUUCAUAAGGCCAUGUUAGAAUAUGCAAUCCGGCUCUCCAUUAGGAACCCCGGCCUUUCUUUGGUAGUCUCAGCUGCAGGAUUGUGAAAGCUGAAUUUCAGAUUUAUGGCGGGAUAAUGCCCUGUGAUCAAAAGCUGCAAGCAUUUUAUAAAUUAUUUUACCUUCGAUUUUGUGGACCUCCACCCUCCUGAAUCUUCCAGUAUUGGAGAAUAAGAAAAUUUUUCUAUGCAACUGAAAGCAGCGACUUUAUCCAUGGCUGAAUGAGUAAUUGGUGAUGAAUCCUGAAAUCAUACUAAAGUUGUUACCAGGAGGAGAGGGAAAAGCCAUAACUUCAAGCCAACUUGGCACUAUGACAAGUAGAAAAAUGAUGCACAAUGAGAAAAUAAAAUAAGGAAACAACAUAGCAAACUAACCUUGGCCUCUGACUUGAAUUUUCCAGAUUCAGGAAUUCUAAUUUCCAGACGAUCCAAGUAAAACAAUAUCUACACAUAAGGCGAAGUUAGAGAAGCAACCCAUUAUGUGACAAAUUGCAAAAACAAUAAGAUUUUGCAUGAAACCUACUUUGUUAAGUAACUGAAAGUUCAAUGCAUUGCUUGCCACUAUCUGAACGCCAAGACAGUUGCUGGGGCUACUGCAGAAGGGGCAAAAAAGGGUAUUAUAUACACAUCCAUCCUCUUCACACCAUAUGCCCUGUCCUGAGGCACCUCCAAAAGACUGGUUGGUGAGUAGCUGAUCAACUGAUGAAAUGUCAGUCAUGAUAACAGGUAUGCUUGUUACAUUUGCACACAGUUCCUGUCUUUGUUUCAGAAGAGAUACUAAGUGAGCUUUAGCAGAUGAAGUAACUGAGCACCUAACAUAUAGAUGAUUCUCAGGAAGACCUAAAGGGCUCCUACAGAGUGAACAUGAAAUUUGUAAAGUCUUGUCCAUAACUGGAGUAGAGGACAAAUGUGAUUCAGCACAAUUAUUUGACGUUUUGGAUUUGUUUUUCACAUAAUUGGUUUCCGAAUUAAAUUCAAUUCUCCGAUUUGCUUCUCUGCUUGCCAUUAACAUAAGGUCAACUGAAGGUGAAACCAUGGUUUUCCUCCUUUUUUGGGUAUGUGAAUUAACACUCGAACUCAAAGACGAAUCUCUUUCUGGUGGCAAAUUGCUGGUGUCUCCAGUGACUUCUUUUUCAGGAGUGACUACCAUCUCAGGCUGGGCGCUGGAAGGGACUCGGACCGGAUUUGUCAAAGACUGCGAAUGGACUGAUAAUUGAUCUGGAGAUUGUGUAGAUGCUUGAAAUAUGGUUGAACUAGAGUUCCCAUCCUUAGAUAAGGAUCCAGGACUAGCCAUGGUAUUAUUAUCAUCCAUAGCAGGGGUUUCCUUGACAAGGAGUAAUUCUGGAUCUUCAUUGGAGAAUGGCAUGGAUGAAGCCUCGCAGCACCUGCAGAAAAGAAAAAGUCUUAUAACCCACACAAAGUAAUCAUUGCAGUUUAAAUCAUGUGGCAAGAUAUUCAAAAGAAGCCACCUAUAAACUUUACCAAAAAACAAUUGCUUAAUCCAAGGACUUGAAACACAUUGAUACUAUAUAGAAAUAUUUAACAAGGUUCCCAUGCUUACCUUGAACUUUUCUGCAAACUGCAUUGUGUGUUGAUAUAAUCUUUGCAGCUACUGACUCUAUCUAGCUGGACAAAUUCCUGAACUUCAACCUCAUCUAACAAGUUCAGCCCGGGAAAAGAGUCAUACUUCACUGAAGAGUGUAGCUUCUGUCCAGAAUUGUCAUAACUGUUCAGUUUCUUGUUUUCUUUCCUUGUUGACCCUUUGCUUGAAUCAAUAGAAUGAUUGUUUUUAUCGUUCAUUCUUUCCAGGUCAAUAUAUUCUAUGCAGCUGUUGUUCUGAUCAGUUUGCAAAGAUGUCUGAACUUCAAAAUUACCUUGAGACUUCUGAUGGGAAAAAGGGUCAUACUUGCUUAUAGAUUGUACAUUCUGUCCAGAAUGAUCAGACUUGUUAAGUUCCUGAGUAUUCUGUUUUGUCACCUCUUUGCAUUGAUCCAUAGAAGAGACAUGGUCCACAUCGUUGUCAGAAUUUUCUAAGCCAUUAAACAUUUUCUUGCCAACCCAACCCUGAGAGCAAGUUUUGGCAGGAAAACCAAUUAGUUCAUCCACUGAGUUAUCCAUAUAAAGAAAAGAAAAGUCUAGUGAUACUAGAGAAAGAAAUGGUAAAAGAUGGGACCUUGACAUCUCUGAAAAAAGACUUUAAACCCUCUAGUGAUGCGUCAAAGCUAUCAUACUGUUUAAUGGAUUUCCUUAGCCACUUAGAAAUAUGAGCUCUAUUCCUUUCCUCUUGAAAGCGCUCAUCUGCUUGCCAAUAAAAUGUGGCAUUAUAAUCUCAUUGACAAGGGAUUUGAGCAUCUCUAUUAAAGAGAACAAAGUGGGAUUUACAAAUAUAUGAAAUGUGAAGAUUAAUACAAAUUUAAGGAAACAACUUGACCUGAGGUAGAUGCAAGGCACAACAUGAACAAAUAAUUCAAAACAGUUACCUAAUAAGAUGAUGGCUCCAUAGUCAAACCUAUGUCUUAUGCAGCGUCCUACAAAAGGAGUAAAAUGCAGUACAAACAAUAGAAUCAUCAAAUGAUGCCAAGGAAAAAUAAGAAGAAAAAAUUUGUCUGUUAUAUGUAAAAACCACCCAGCAAAACCCAGUGGCUGACUAUAAUAAUAAAAUCACCCCACAAGAUAAUAGACAAAGUGCAAUGCUUGACGCAUUGCUUAGCAUACCUAUAGCUUGAUUUAGAGCUCGAAAGGCUUGGUUGCAGUACCACUCAUUACCACUUAGAAGAUUUUUUGAUGAUCUAUAUGUAUCAUUAUAUUUCUUCUUCAAUGAAACUUGAAUAUCAUUUCUGGUAAGAAAUUCACAGGAAUCAGUCCCUGUGACUUGCAAAAUUACAUAAUGAUCUUGUUAGGAAAAAAAAAAAAAAGAACAGGUAAGUAUUCUCACAUGUUUGGAAAUGGUAUGCCAACAACUAUCUGAGAAAGUUAAGGACUUCCAAACUCAUGAGAAAAAAACAAUGGGAAUUCUGGCAAGCAUGCAUACAAUUUAAUUUAAUGCAACUCAAGUUGGAGUCCCAUUGCCCGUUAUAUUGGCCAAGUUAAUGUUGAGUCCAAGAUAUUAUUACAACCAAUUUCUUUCCAUUUUUCCAAAGUUGGCCAAAGUGACAUCACAAUCCUAAUCCAAAAUUAUGCAAAUUAAAAAGCAGAACUCUUGGCCCAGAAAAUUUAAAGAGGAAAAAGGAUACAACCACUCGAGCAUUAUCAUCGCUGAAGUCAAUUCCUUCUGAAACCUGCAAACAAAUAUAGCAAUUUAGACAUUUAGUAAAAUACAAAAUGCAGAUUGAACAAAAAAUCAACACAUAAUGCAUCCGCAACCGUAUGAUAAUUGUCAUAUGACAUAAAACAUAAAUUUCACACCUUUCCACGGCAAACUGCAAGGAAACUGGCUCCUUUCUUAUUAGCAUUUUCCUGAGACUCAAUUGUGUUUAAGUCAUUAUUGCCUUCUCUCUUAACUCUUUUCUUUCUCACAACAGCACAUUUACUGCCUUGUGAAAUUGAGUUGUAAUAAUGCUUCAAAACAAUCUCAAAGUCUUCCUGGCUUCCCCCUUUUGGCUCUGCACCAACAACCAAGACAAUAAGCAUAAGACUCCAACUAAAUAGUAGCCAAGAUAAUUCCAGCAAGAACAACAAAGUAGAAUAAUUGCCAUGUAAAGAUAACUUCAAAAUCUAUGCAAAAAGGCUAAAAAUUGUGAAACAAGACAAGGAAAACAACAAAGUUAAUAUAGAAAUGAAGAAUGUUUUCUCAGAUAGCAUAAAAGAUGUGCUGACCCACAAAAAGAGGUUUCUUUGCAUUAAGUCGAGACCAUUGGCCUGUUUCACGCCAACGAUUGCACAGUUUCUCCAUCAACUUAUAACUAGGGAAGAAUACAAGAGAGCCACCAGGAACAACGUUGCAUAUUUCCUCUAUAGAUUUGCCAAGGGCAUCCUUCAAAACAAUAUAUGUACAACCAAUAAUUUAUUGAACUAUAAAAGAGGAGACCACUCUCAGACAAUCAAAAUCAAUGUGACAAAAAGCAGAAGAUACCUGAAAAGCAUACCCAUCUGCAGUUUUAUAACUUGCAUUCAAUGGAUAAUUAUCUGGACCAGUGGAGAUUACAGAAGUCAACACCUGCAAAACAGUUGAUGGUCCAUAACUGCAAUAGUAGUAUAACAAACCAAAACCAAUUAGCAGAGAGAUGGAGGAAAAUGGCAUUCAUACCUGCAAAUCAACAUCGAUGACAUGCGGAGCCUCCAGACAAGUUCCGAAUUGAACUCCAAGCUCAGAAGAGAAGGAAUUCAUUGGUGAUAAGGUCCUAUUUUCAGAGAGAUGAGUACUAGCGUAAAGGAAAGACGCUACUUUGGGUCAUGCAAUUAAAGCAAAGAGAUAGUUUGUAAAAAAGGGCAAAUGCACAGCUUUUACUCAAUCAUAUGGUAUGAGACUGACCAGACAUGAAAAUAAUAUCUUGUAGUCCAACAUUCAAUACUAAGCAGCAGACCAUGGCCAAUUUUAGAAAGAGUAUAUCAGUCCUUAUGGAUAUAGUGGGGAGGUAUAGUGACCUCCACUUAGUUGCUCAACACAUACUCAUGCAUUGAAGGUAGUAAACAAAAGUACAAGAUGUUUCCACAAUAUGCAUACAUGCCUUGUGACUGAGGAAUCAAGCAGUUUAAAAUGAGCUUAGCAAUCCAGAUAUGGCAAUGUCAUAGCUUACCCCGAUGUUAAAAUAAUAGACAAAGAAAGCUCAGCAACAUCCUUGAAAACAACAGCUGGAUUCAAGCACCACAAACUUAAAGUAUGUGUCCAGUUUCCACCAGGGUUUUCUGCAUGGAGUAUUAUUCAUUAACAAUGCUGGCCAUCAGUUUUCUCUAAACAAGAAAGCCCAUGUUAAAAUGGACCAACAAUAACAUAUCCUACAACAAAAACAGUUGAACACUUGAUGGCAAGUAAUAAUAACAUAUUGAGAAGGAACAGAUAAUAACAGAGAUCAAGAUUAUGGAGUUCACCUAAUACAAUUCAAAUGUAGAGUCAAUUCCAUAAAUGGCUUAAUGCAGAAGUUCAAUAUAGACAUUUUUUCUCUAAAAAUUCCAAAAACUAACGUAUAUUAAGUUGGUGGAUACAGUUUCUUAGAGAAACAGUAUCAAGAUCCCCUGAUACAUGAAUUUUCCAAUCAUCUUAUUAAGGAAUCUUACAUAGCUAGGGUUUUGGUUUGAUAAUGACUGGUGCAUAAACCUGUUAGGCUUUCCAUCUGCUACCAUAAGCCCUUAGACUGAUUUUCAAUCACACUUGGCCAAAUAAUAUAUUACCUAUAAGAGUUUGGUCAGCAAUGUCUAUAUAAUUAUUUCACAAAUUCAAACCAUAGAUUCAUAAUCUAUUGACUUUCAUUGAUGACAAAAUUAAAAUGACCCUUAAAAGAAUUAAUCAAAUCAUCAAGUAUUGACCACUUACUUGAAUCUCUUUUAAUAUAUUUCUGUAAAGCAAGCUGAUAAUCAGAUACAUGAGAACCGUUUCUUGAGAAGAAAUAGGUAAGUGAGGAGAAUAACCCUGUUGCAUUUUCAAAGGCAAUCAGUAACAAUAACAAAUGUUCAAUAGUUAAUAGAAAAGCUGUGGGAUCAGGUCACUAUGACAAGAAGACUUGUACCUUCCAAUGUUAUGACUGACAUGCCACUCAGAUGAGGUAACUCUGAUUCUGUGUCUGUAGCUUCUUUGAUUGCCUUUGACCAAACAAAGAAAGUUUAUAAACUUUGGAAGAUAGUCAGAAUCAAACCCCCAAAACUUUCUUAACAGUGUACCUUUGUGGCACAUUCUAGCAAUAUUGGAAAGCACUGCCGUGAGAUGUUAGCUUCUUGGAGUUCUCUUAAAGCUUUAUCACCAGUCCAACUUCAAUAUAAAAUGACAACAAUAAGAUAAAGAAAUGAAACAAAUUUGAUUUUGUUAUUUACAAAAUUCAUACUCUAAUAUGAGUUACUCAAGAGCAUAGUAGUGCAUUUAAUAAUUCAUUUAAAGAAACUUCUUGUAUAGCUAAAACAACUGACCAAGAGAAGAAGUGCUGAAAUUCCCGCUUUGCUAAUGUUGCUUUCCUGCGCUCAAUCCAGCCUACGAGGUCCUAUACAUCCAUAACUCCCACCAUUGUCCAAGAUCCAAUGAUGCAAUUUGAAAGCCAGAAAUUGUGAAAUAAAAUGACCAAAAUUUACCUGGGUCAUUUCAAUUAAUGGUUGGUAAAUCAUGGGAUUAACAGAGCACACUUGCUCUAGUUCCAUCUGCAAUUCUUUCAUAAGCCAUAACCACUAUAAGCGCCAAGAAUCACAAAAUUUCAAAAUUACAUAGGAAUUUUUUCCGAACCUACUUAGCAAAACAUCUUCAUCAAUAUCCACACUACCGGCAUCACGGGCAAUGUCUUCGAUAUUGCUGAAAAAAAACAAAUUAUGUCUGUAAGUGUUCAACUCCAGAGAUAAUAAAAAAUUUUAAAAUCAUUUACUUCUUCAGCAUGACCUAAAGAACUUAAUAGAAGUUUAUAGGAAAAUAAGUAAAUAAAAGUUGUGAAACAUACUGGGCUUCAUCAAGAAUUAAAAUGGCUCCUUUAAUAUCAACUUCCAUAGCACCCCGAAUGACAGGAUUAAUGAUGUAGCUGUAGGGACAAAACACCAACUGCGCAUCAUCUGCCAUGGAGCGUGCAGCAUAAUAUGAACAUCCUGAAAAAUGCAUAGCCUCAAUGAAAUGCUUGUUGCCCAAAAUUGUAGUAUUUCAUGUGUAGAAUGAAAAUAUGAGAUGAACCUCUAACGACUUGUCCAACAUUCACCAGAUCUUCAAUAUCAUGAACCUCAUGGCAACCUCCUUUCUGAAGUGAUGGGUGACCUCUGACUUUAUGCACAUUUCUGUUUGAAAUAAAAUUAUUAUUAGACCAUACUUUAGCUUUUUCCAUUAGCAGUAGCAUCAGACAUCACUAAGAUUAAAUGAGCAUGUAAAAAUAGAGAAAUAACUUACUUAAAUUGAGGACAACCCAAAUUUCGAUCCCCCAAAAGCAGCUUGCUAGAAAAAAAAUAGUUAUCAUGAGAGAAUGAAAGCAAAAUCUUGUUGAUGUGUUUGGAAAAAAAAAAAAAAACACCACACCAUUCUUCAUCAAUAUUCUCUUUGUCACGUACGUACUUGUUUGUGCAAUAAUGUUUACGCGAAGCCUGAUGGGACAUGAAAUAGAAGUUAAUAAACUCAUAGAAGCUUGAACUACACCACUAGUAGGGAUAAACAUUUUUAUUUAAUAUGAUUUUUUUUCAGAUUGCUUCAUUUCAUAGAGAGUUCCAAAGCAAUAUCAACCUCUAAAGCAAUUGCUAUUGGUUUCAUCAAUAUUGACUGUCUUCCUCACUAAUCACCGACAGCAUUAAAAUUAAAAACACUCAAAUGCUAACAGAUAAAACUCAUCAAAGACAUCAGCAAGCAAUAAUUUUCAGUCUAUAAUUUCUGGAGAAAGAACAAGGACAGAAUAUGUAAAAUGUAACUAUAGUCAUGGGUGUUGAAUGGAUGAUCUGAACAAGAGCCAAAGGACUCCAUAAAGCCCAGUGCUAAAACAAACCUAAAACAAAUAGAUUAUAGUCAUGGGUCAUUAAUAUAAGGAUGUAUUAAAACAUACCAACACUGCCAUUGGCACCCGAUAAGCAGUUUUCUUGUAUUCAGAAAUCACUUGAGAAAUUUGUGAAUGUGUCCUCCUAGUGUGAACAGAAAACACACAAAACCAUUAAUAUGUGCAAAUUCUUAAUUAGCAUCCAUAAGAGUAAAAACUUUUUGCACAGAAAUUACAAAGAUCAAAUGGUGUCCAGUAUCUUGCGCGCUUGGCCUCACUCUUUCCCUUUAUGAAUCUCACAUAAUUAUUACUGGCAAGCAGGACAGGUUUGAUGAACACAGUGAACUCAAUCUAUUCACAAACUACAAUCUCUUAAAACAUCAGAAACACCAUGACUUAAUUAUCACAGCUUAAUAAGCGUACCUAAAAGUAAGAUUAUAUCAAAAUUUAACUUAAUAUAAGAUAUAAACCGUCAAUUAAACAGAUACAACAAACAUAUAGUAACUCGACAAGAUAAAACUCACGAUGCAUAAAAUAUUGUAGGCGUCAUCUUUUUCUUCACAUUCUUGUUGUUCAUCGCAACCUGAGCCGUCUGGCCAUUUGUUGACGGCGGAAUAGCUAACAACACGAAGCAAUAAUAGUCAUGUCAAUAGCAAUGAAACAUUUUCAUUUUCUCAAGUUUUGAAAAAUAUUAAAUCAAUAUGAUGACGUGGCAUUAUUACUUGAAGGCUGUGAUUCGGGGAUGAAUCCGCCACCAUUUGCCAGAGGAUCGGUGACGGCCUCGGUAUCAGGUUUGGAGUGAGAGAUGUUUGCUAACUGAUUCUUUAAUUUACAAUUCUGCUGCCAAGCGAGAGUCGAGCAAAGAAGCGAGAGAGAUUUUCCAGUACCGGUCGGAGACUCGAGUAAUGCGUGACAGUGACCGUCUCUUUGCGCUCGAUCAAGCGUCGAUAUCACGCGGCACAUGAACACAAGCUGCGACCCGUAUGGUUGGUACGGAAACUCCACUUGGAUUCCCCCGACGUGGUACGCAUUCAGGGGCUUUCUGUAAUUAGGGUUUGGGUUUGCCUCUGAGACCAUUUUUGCAUUUCUAUUUGGAGAUCUUGGAUGAAAGAAACUGAGAUAAAAUAUUGAGAGGGAGCUCUAAAAGUGAAAUGAAAUGGAUGUUUUGGGAGUUUUAGCGGGAAUUUUUUUUGAGUGAGGCGGUAAAUUCUGCACCGCAGGGUUGAACAGUGAACACAAUUUUAUUAAGCAACGUAUCAGCGUUGGCGUGAUGAAUGUGUUACGCCAACUUCGUACCUUUUCGUAAAUCGAAAAAUGAUAAUCGUCUGCCUUCGGCACGUAAGAUUAAAUUAAAUUAAUUAUAACAAAAAUUAAAAUAUUUUUUUUUUAUCUUGAAUUUAAAUUUUUUAGAUGCUUAUUUAUUUUAGGUUGUUUAUUUUUUUAAUUUUUCACUUAUUUUCAGAUAAUUUUAUAUGAAUAGAAAAAAUAAAAAAGGCCCACUUUUAUAUGAAAGUUCGAAAUCUAAAUCGAAAUCUAAAUAGAAAAUUUUAAUUUCAAAUAUCAAAAAUAUCCUUAACAAUUUAUGUAUUUUCAAUAUUAUAUAUAAACCUAAUAAUUUUGUAUUAUUUUUGAAGUUAUUUUUUAAUUGCUUUAAAUUUUUAUUCACAUGAUAGCAUUAGAUAAACUAAAAAUAUUAAACAAAUCAAAUUGUAUUCAUUGUGAUGAAUCAAAAAUAAAAUAAUAAUGUUGACUUUAUAAUAAAAUUUGAUAUUAUAAUUACAUCUUUUAAUAAAAAAUUAAAUUAAGAUCAACAAUGAUAAUAUUUUUUUUAAAUGCUAUCAAACUAAUCAACCUGUAAAAAUUAUAAAUUGUGAAGAGUAAAUAUAUGCACUACUUGAAAGGGUAUUAACGUCAAAUUAUUAACUUUUAAGUUUUUCUUUUCAGAUGUUGAAAAUAAAAAAAUAAACAUGUCAUUCAUAAAAUUUUAUUUAAACCUAUUCAGAUUUCAAAUAAAAAAAUAAAUACAACCUAAAUUUUUGUUAGCUUUUACAUAACAAGUCAACAUAAAUUAAAUUUAAAAAAUACUUUUUUAACUUUGAGUUUUGUAUUUUUACUUCUUCCCUUUUUGUUUAUUCCUAUUCUCUAUUUCUCUUCCAUCGCGUUCUAGCCCACUUGAUUCACCGUGGUCUUUGGAUGGUGAGGACCACUAAAAGUUGUAGUAAGUCCAGAAACAUCAAUCACGCAAGGGCGCCCCAUGCCAUACGUUUAAAGAUGGCAAAUUCUCCAUUUCGUCCCUCAAUAAAUUUAAUGGUAAUAGACUAAUAGGGUAGAGACGAAAAAUCCCUAAAUAAGGAUUAAUUUUUUUAUUUAUUAGUAGAUAUGUAUAAAUGAUUUCAGUAAAUUAAAAAUAAAGACUUAAAUAAAAUUAUUAACAUAUUAUAAAGUAUUUAAUUAUUUAAAAAAAUCUAUAAAAGGUUGAAAUAAUAUCAAAAUUAAAAAAUAUUUGAAGAGUGCAACAUGUUGAGAAAGAAAAGAAAACAUAACAAUGUUUUAAUGUUGAAUAAGAAUUACAAUGUAGAGUUUUCUUUUAGUUAUAAUCUAUUUAUAUUAGGUAAAAAAAUAUUAACCAACAUUGUAAUUGACAAAACAAAAAUUUUAAAAUAUUCAUAUAUAAUAGGGAUUGAGUAGAGAGUACAAAACUAAACCCUACCGCAUUAAGAAUUUGAGAAUUAUUUUUCUUCAAUUCUCCAUCUUAUUCUGCAAAAUUAUUCAAAAUUCACUCCAUUUAAGGUGGAGCCCUGUGAAUUUCUAAAUUCAUUAAGGAUUUUGCCACCCUAACCCUACCUGUGAAAUUGAUGGAGAUAUAAAAAAUUGGAGCCCGGAAUGAUGAGAAAUCUUUUUUGAAUUAGAAGCCAUUCUUUCUUAAUUCCUAGCGGACAUAAUAUGCAUAAACCUAAUUUGAUACAUCAGACAACUUUUACAAAUUCUACUUAGUUUUUUCCUUCACCACAAGGACUACGGUUUCAUCCUUUUAUUGCACUUCUCAGAAGUCGAUGUUGGUUUGUGUGCUUUGGCUGAUGGGAUCAAGAGCUUUAUUGCACUAACGUUUCUCUUGUUUCAAUAUUUUAAUAAUCAAUGACUCAACACUUAUGUCUGUUUAUGCUAGUAACAGAAUAUGGAUAAGAGAAUAUUGUAACAAAGGAGCAGAUUUUUUUUUUUUCAGCAAAUUAAAAAUUCCAAGAAGCGUUACAUGGGAUAUAAUCUAUUGACUUGAAAGAGUUUACAAGAACCAAAAUAAUAACACGGUAAGAACCACAAAAUUUCGGCUCACAAUCUUUUCAAUUGAAUGUAGACGCAAAUUAAAAAAAAAAAAAAUUGCAUAUAAUAUAGUUUUAUUUCAAAAAAAAAAAACUUAGAAAAUGAAACUGCUUACACCAGGCCAAAUCAUAGUCGAUAAUGAAAAAAAAAAGGAACUCAACUAUAGCAUACAACGAGUAAUCCAUGGUCUAGACAAACUAUUCUUCAUAAGGCCUAGUAUAUAGCAAAGCCAAAAACUCCCCCAACAGCAAGAUUAAGUUCCAACAGUACAAAUCGAUAUAGAUUCACAUAAUAUAACAAUAAUCGAGAAACAAAACUCAAUAACUACAAACUUGAGUAAUGCAAAUCAUCUAACAAAAAUUUAGUCGAAAUUCUCCCAUAAAGGGUGGAUAGUCUUGACCGCCUGACAAAGUUAAAAUCCCCCACAGACCUAGCUGGUAUAACACAUUUGAUUCCAUUAAUUUUUCUUCUUUCUUCACUUUCAAGCAAGCACAGUUGAUAGUGUUAGGUGCGUAUAAUAUUCAGGAAGCAUUCUUUUUCACCGUCUCAUUUUCGCGAUGCUGUAAAAGAAUAACUAUAAUAAUAAUAAUAAAAUAUAUGUACUUUCAUCAGCUAUAGCAUAAAAAUAGAUUAAUACCACAUUUUAUUAAGCUUUUAUCAAAUCCUAGCCAUUGAAAUUAAUAAUAUCACAUAUCAAUAAAUGUUUAAAAAUUCAAAUACUACUAAGAUUAUGAGAGAAUUUGAAAUAGUAAAAAUAUUCACAAGUAUCAUUUGUGUGGGAGUCAGUUAUUUUUUAUUUUAGUUUAUUUAAGUUUUUGAAGAUUGAAUAAGAUGAGUUCGAUAAUUUGAAAAUAAUAUCCUUAAUUAAUAAUGAAUGUCACUUGUUAAUACCAAAUUUUAUUAAGCUUUUAUCAAAUUCUGGCCAUUUUAAUUAAUAAUAUAACAUGUCAAUAGGUUUUUAAAAGUUCAGAUAGUACUCAGAUUAGAAGAGAAUAUAAAAUAGUAAAAAUGUUUAACCGGUAUCAUUAGAGUGGGUGUCAGUUAUUUUUUAUUUUAAUUUAUUUAAUGUUUUGAAGAUUGAAUUAGAUGAGUUCGAUCAUUUGCAAAAUCUUAAUAAAGGGCAUUGGAUGCCUUGGCCCAAUCAAAAGUCCAGAACGGUCAAUAGUAAUCAGCCCAUAUCACAUUUUCAUCAUCACGGCGAACGUGCUUUAACAAACCUCUUAACAAUGGCGUUUGCAUUUCUGAGGCUCACUAGCGAAGCUUUCAACAGUUCCUUUCAUGGCGUUUCUUUCGCGGUUUUACAGAACCAGGUACCCUUUAUCCUCCCUAAGCUCGUCAUUUUCACUGUUUUUAUUUUCAACUUCAGUUCGGUCAAACUUGUCAUACAACGAACUGUUAUCGAAUCAAAAGAAGAAUAUGUCAAGCCUCGACGAACAUCACGUUCUCAAGGAACUAUCAGAUUUAUUUCAAAUUUCUAGUCAUAAUUCAUUUCCAAAUGUAUAUAAAGAGAGUCGUAGUAAUUCAGUUAAACGAAUAGACAGCAGCAGGGCAGUUGACGAGUUUUUAUUACCCGAGGAGAGACUACGAGGGGUUUUCCUUCAAAAGCUGAAGGGUAAAGGCGUAAUUGAAGAUGCUUUAUGGAAUGUGAAUGUGGAUUUGAGUCUUGACGUUGUUGGUAAAGUUGUAAAUAGAGGGAAUUUGAGUGGGGAAGCGAUGGUUUUGUUUUUUAAUUGGGCAAUUAAGCACCCAAACGUAGCUAAAGAUGUCAAGAGUUAUAAUGUGAUUGUUAAAGCAUUGGGGAGAAGAAAGUUUUUUGAUUUCAUGUGCAAUGUUUUGAGUGAUAUGGCUAAGGAAGGCGUAAAUCCUGAUUUAGAGACUUUAUCCAUUGUGAUGGAUAGUUUUAUCAGGGCCGGUCAGGUUUAUAAAGCUAUACAAAUGCUUGGGCGCUUAGAAGAUUUUGGAUUGAAAUUUGAUGCUGAAUCUUUGAACGUUGUUUUAUGGUGUUUGUGUCAACGAUUACAUGUUGGUGCUGCGAGUUCGUUGUUUAACUCAAUGAAAGGGAAGGUUUUGUUUAAUGUAAUGACGUAUAAUAUUGUCAUCAGUGGGUGGUCAAAACUUGGUCAAGUUGUUGAAAUGGAGAGAGUUUUGAAGGAAAUUGUAGCUGAAGGUUUUAGUCCUGAUAGCUUAACUUUCAGUUUUCUUAUUGAGGGUUUAGGUAGAGCUGGUAGAAUUGAUGAUGCCAUUGAGGUUUUUGAUACUAUGAAGGAGAAAGGCUGUGGGCCAGAUACGAAUGCUUACAAUGCUGUGAUUUCUAAUUACAUUUCUGUUGGAGAUUUUGAUGAAUGUAUGAAAUACUAUAAGGGCAUGUCAAGUUAUAAUUGUGAGCCAAAUAUGGAUACAUAUACCCGAUUGAUUUCUGGGCUCCUCAAAUCCCGAAAAGUUGCUGAUGCACUUGAGGUUUUUGAAGAGAUGCUGGAUCGAGGGAUUGUUCCCUCCACGGGGACUAUAACAUCUUUCCUUGAACCUUUGUGUAGCUAUGGUCCACCUCAUGCUGCGAUGAUGAUGUAUAAGAAAGCAAGGAAAGUUGGGUGCAAACUAUCCCUUACAGCUUAUAAGUUAUUGCUCAGGAGGCUGUCUGGAUUUGGGAAAUGCGGAAUGCUGCUAGAUUUAUGGCACGAGAUGCAAGAAAGUGGUUAUCCUUCUGACGGGGAAAUUUAUGAAUAUGUCAUUGCCGGACUUUGCAAUAUAGGUCAGCUUGAAAACGCUGUUCUUGUUAUGGAGGAAUCUUUGCGUAAGGGUUUUUGCCCAAGCAGGCUUGUUUAUAGCAAACUUAGUAACAAACUACUUGCUUCAAACAAAUUAGAGAGUGCUUAUAACCUAUUUCGGAAGAUUAAAAUUGCUCGUCAAAAUGAUUAUGCUCGGCGGUUAUGGCGUUCUAAGGGGUGGCAUUUUUAAGCUGAUUUGCUUAUCUUUGGCAAGCAAACUAUAGUCUUUGUGGCAGAAGGUAGUAACUUUCUUGUAGGGUGUGGUAAUUCUACUAUCAAGUGCAAGCUUUUGUUUAACCCGAUUCUUCAUAAACUGUGAACUUAUGCUUCUGUCAUUCAUGUUAUGUCUACUUGUCUUAAUAGCUUCAACAGCAUCUUGCAUACUAAUAUUUAAAAUGAAAAACUAAUUUUAGGCUGUUGACAUAUUGGUGUUUGUGAAGCUUAUGAUUUUUUAUUUUCUAUAUUCGUGCAUUAAAAAAUAGCUGUCUUUAUGAAAUUCUUUAUCCUUAUUGCUUUAUGCGUAGGUGCACAUUAUUCCUGUGGACUAGACCUUGAAGGACAAGUAUGCUAUUCCGUUAGCUUGUUACCAGAGCCUUGGUUGUUCAUGGAAAGAAGAGUUAAUGCUAACAUUCAAGGUGAAAUUUUAACCAGAUUUUGAACUCAAUCACAGGCUCACAGCAGUACUUGAUUGGAUUGUUAAAAUAUGUGGUGCAGGAAGUAGAGCGGCCUGUGACUGUGAUAAUCUUGGUUCUGGUUCGGAAGGCCUUAUGUGCUGCUAAUGAUAAAGGAAAAACCAUGGACACUAUUUCGGGAAAUUUUAGCUGCUGUUGUUAGGGAUUUCCGUGCUGACAUGUUUUAUAAUAGAAGCAAGCAGAGCAGAACAAUAACUUUUUUAAGCUUCCUCAGUUCAGCAAUUUUCUAAAUUUAUUGUAUAACUCAAGUUUUUAAAUCUAAACGAUUGUCUUUGUUUACUUGUUUUUACACCCUAACAAUUAUUCCAAAACCGCCGAGGUUUAUAUUCAUUCUAGAAUGGCAUUAAUUUAGACCCUCUCAACAAUCAGACGGAAAGAAAAUAUUGUUCUUUUCUAUAAUUAACUGUUUUUCGAAGUGUACUUUUGAAGCUGCGUGAUGUGGAUCCUGCUGAUCCAAUUCCCAAGCCGGGCUGAGCCCUCAGAUAAAAUGUCUAAAAUGAUAAAUUGCCGAAUAGACUGUAGUAACUAAAAUUAAAGAAGAAAAGAGGGGGUAAAUGAAAUAUUUACGCCAAAGCCCAAGGGCCAUAAGUUAAAAAUAAUAAUGAUAACAAUAAGGAAAAGAGAUAGAUCCUGUGACAGUCUGCGUUCCUUCCGAUCGAGAGAGACUGUACAGCCAUUUUUGCAAAGGAAAUUCUCUUCUCUCGCUUUAAUCUUUAAUUAAUUGUUACUUAGCUUCCAAAUCCCCAUAUCAUCUUCUCGAUCUAAACACCUUAUUUAAAUUCCACCAAUUCGUCGCUGCACUAUUAAAGAUUCCUUUCGCCGGUUGUUGCAUCGUCACUUUGAUGCUUUAUAUUCAAUUGAUUAAUUAUUUCAUUUCACGGUUUGAUCGGAGACUCGAUUAAUUUGAUCAAUUUGGAGUUGUUUUUUCGGUUAGUUUAGAAUCUUAGAUGGCGGGGCCAAAUCAAGAUCAAUUCGAAUCGUUUUUUAGGAGGGCCGAUUUAGAUGGUGAUGGUCGAAUUAGUGGAGCUGAAGCUGUCGCGUUCUUUCAAGGAUCUAAUUUGCCCAAACAAGUCCUUGCUCAGGUUGCUUUUUUAACAUGUCUUUUAUAUUUAAUUUCGACUUACUGCUUAUUCCCUGUUGAGUAGAAUUUCUGUUUAUAUUUAGAACCUAAAUUAUCUCAAAGCUGUUUUUCUGGUGUCACAAUGUGAAUUUUCUUGAUAGUUUGAAACCUCAUUGUUACUUCUCAUAAUUAGAAAGUUUGCUGGCUAUUUCUGUCUAGUCAAUACUUUUAGUUGGUUACUACAUUCGUUAUUUUUUAUGUUUCCUGAGCUUUAAACCUUAUUUUCCUGGAUCUCCUAGGAUAUAAAUAUCAUAGGAAAAUAUGAUUUGAUUAAUGAUUUAGGGAGAAGUAAAAAGAAUUACGUUCUUAACUUCAUUUUAUCUGUGAAACCACGUUCUAAUUACCUAGUAUUGACAAUAAUGACAUUGUUCUUAAGCGUAUGCAGUAUUAAGUGACAUUGUUCUGAAGCAGAUGGAUUGCAUUUAAUGUCUUGUAGAUUGUCAUUGUUCCUGUUGCGUAAGGACGCCUAAACCUGAUUUGACAUUGCGCUUCAUGAUAACGAUGCAUGCUACUCAAACAUUUUCUUUAUGGAUGCAGAUAUGGAUGCAUGCUGAUCAUAACCAUACUAGUUACCUUGGCCGGCAAGAAUUUUAUAAUGCUCUCAAACUUGUAACUGUGGCCCAGAGUAAGCGGGAACUAACACCAGAUAUAGUCAAGGCUGCGCUCUAUGGUCCUGCUGCCACCAAAAUACCGCCGCCACAGAUCAAUCUUUCAGCUACGCCUGCUCAACAAAUAAAUUCAACGGCUGCUGUAUCCGUUCCACAAAUGAGUGUGCCAACACAAAUGGCUCCUCAGAAUUUUGGUUUUAGAGGACCAGGAGCUCCAAAUGUUAGUCAGGUCCAGCAGCAGUCUAUUAGACCAUACCAAGCUGCUCCCCAUCCAACUCAGGGUUCUGUUGGUCCAGACUUCUCUCGGGGAGGUAGUGUGAUGGGUCAAACUCAAGUCAUGCCAGGGAGUACUGCUCCCCGUCCACCUCAAACCAUGCCUGCUGGUACUGCUCCCAGGCCGCCUCAAUCCAUGCCUGCUAGUACUUCUCCCCACCCACCUCAAUCCAUGCCUGAAAGUACUGCUGGUCUGAAUGUGCCAAACUCAAACAUAUCCAGUGAUUGGCUUAGUGGAGGGGCUGGUGGAGCUUCAACUGGGUCAAGAGCAAUCAGUCCAUCAACACCUCUGAUGCCAACAAAUCCUCAAACUCCAGUUUCAUCGUCUUCACAGCUUAUAAAUAAUAAAUCUAAAGCAUUAGUUCCUUCUGGAAAUGGUUUUGCUUCUGAUUCAGUUUUUGGAGGCGAUGUGUUUUCUGCAAUUACAACUUCUCCGAAACAAGGGCCUUCUUCGUCAGCUUAUUCGGCUAGCACUUCACCUACCUCGUCUGCCAACGUUCCAGUUUCAGGUGCUGCUCAACCUUCAAGUAAGCCCUACCCGCUCAACUCGUUGCAGAGUGCUUUCUCUAUGCAACCUGCAGGCAGCCAGAUUCCGCAAAACCAGUUAUCUUUGAACCCAGGACAGAAAAUUUCUUCUCAAAGUUCAUCAUUUGCUUCAGCUGGGAUUUCAGUGGGGUCGGGAAAUUCAACUCCUGAUAAUUCGCAGUUUCCUUGGCCAAAGAUGAAACCAUCGGAUAUUCAGAAAUAUUCAAAAGUGUUUAUGGAAGUAGAUACUGACAGAGAUGGAAGAAUCACUGGCGAACAGGCGAGGAAUUUAUUUAUGAGUUGGAGGCUACCAAGAGGUAAUUUCAUUUUUCUUCUUGAUAUGUCUCUUUAUGCUUGGCUUUUUACUUCAUUUUACUUCUUAAAGUUUUAUACCUAGUUUCUUAAAGGCAGUUGCCCUUCUUGUUACAAUUGCCAUAAUUUUCAUUGCACCAAUUCAAUUUUGUUAAUGAAACAACAGAACCUACGUUUUGAGAGAUACACAGAGAUAACCACAACCCAAUAAUCAGCUUAGUGGGUUGUGCCUUCAACAGACAUGUCAUGCAUCAAAUUAGCACUGACCAUGUCACAUAGCUCUUGGGCCCUCAAAAAAAUCAAUUGAUUACUAACCCAAACAUGGACUGUAACAAAAUCAACUAACCUAACUUACAUAGAUGCUAUCUCUCAUUUUUAGGUAGAUUAUGACCAAAUAUUUUAGCCUCGGAAGGUAUAAAUGAUGCUUUUACGCCGAUGGUAAAAAACGGUUCCUUGCUCUGAUUUGUGCAUCGCAUUGCAUCUUGUUAAGCUUUGUGUCCCCUUUUUCAUGGAUAUUGCAGAAACUUAGUUCUGUUAUUGAAUUACAGAUGUUAAUUUUUUUUCUUUGGCCUUUUUUAGAGGUGUUAAAGCAAGUGUGGGACUUAUCUGAUCAGGAUAGUGAUAGCAUGCUUUCUUUGAGGGAGUUCUGCUUUGCUCUCUAUUUGAUGGAGCGGUACAGGGAAGGCCGCCCUCUUCCAGCAGUGCUUCCAAGGAAUGUUAUGUUUGAUGAGACGCUGUUGUCCAUGACAAGUCAACCACCCAAUGCUGGUUAUGGAAAUGCAGCUUGGGGUCCUGGUCCGGGUAUUUGUUAGGAAUUCUUAUGAUCUAUAAGAUAUUUCUCCUUUCCCCUCUUUAGCUCCCAGCAUGUUUGUUGACGGCGUACUUGUUCCCUUAAUUUUAUUAGGUUUUGGACCGCAGCAGGUGAUGCGUCCUCAAGCAAUGACACCAGCUGGUGCUUUGAGGCCUCCCAAUUUGCCUACCCAUCCUACUGCUGAUGGUGCCAGGAUGCUCAAUCAGCAAAAGCCAAGGGCACCUGUAUUGGAUGAUAACUUGGCGAACCAGCUUGAUAAUGGAGAGUAUUCAGCAGACUCAAAGCUCCAAGAUUCAACAACUGCAGGAAAAAAGGCAUUCUCUUUAUUUCUUUCUUGGUUAUUACAAUACAGUUCUGCUGUUUAAAGGAUUUUGUAAUGUUUGACACUUCUGCUCUUCAACUGAUUAUAUGAUUUUUUUUUUUAAUUCCUUAAAGGGUAGUGAGAAUUUGAGUUUUAGACUUUUCUGAGGUUUUGAAUUAGUAACUGCUAGCUUUCAAUUAUGCAUAUACCUCUCUUUGAAGUAUGAAGGAAUAAUUUCUUUCUGCAUGUAUGGUAGGUCGAUGAAAGAGAAAAAGUAAUUUUGGAUUCCAGAGAGAAGAUUGAGUUUUACCGCUCAAAAAUGCAGGAACUUGUAAGUAGCUUCUGUCUUCAAUUUUCUUGCUUCUUCACUUUUACCAACUCCACAGCCCUUGUUGAUUUUGUACUCCUUUAAAAAAAAAAAAGUGUACUUUUCUAUGAACUGUUUCCAAAUCUGUGUGAUAAGAAACUUGAUUUACAAAAAAGAUGGCGGGUUUUCCUUCUGGAUGGGCUAAAAUUUUGUUUGUUUGCUUUUAGGUCCUUUAUAAAAGCCGAUGUGACAACAGACUAAAUGAAAUCACAGAAAGGGCACUUGCAGACAGGCGUGAGGUACACUAUAGAGUGUAAAAAUUAUACAUCAGACUGAUUUUACUUGGUUUUAUUUUAACAGUAUGUUUUACAGGCUGAGACACUGGGUAAGAAGUAUGAAGAGAAGUACAAACAAGUUGCAGAAAUAGCAUCAAAAUUAACUAUUGAAGAUGCCAAAUUUCGUGAACUGCAGGUAAUGACUAAUUAUUCAUUAUUUUAAAGAUGACUUGUAGAUCGUUCCAACUGCAUGAACUUUUCAGAAUGUUCAUUUAAAUUUGUUGUGGACACUAAAUUCUCCUCAUCUUCAGAAUUAGUCAUCUGCCUUGUCAGUCAAUGUGGCAACAGUUCUGAAUUUUUAUUAUAAAGUUGUUCUCUGAGUAUCUUCUCCCUGUUUUAGAUCAAUAUCUAUGGCCUUCGGGCUUUUCACCCAUUUGUAAUUAAGUGCUUAUUGAUGCUGUUAUGACUAAUUGGAUUACCUUUUAGUUCACACUACCAUGAGUCUCCAUCUCAUCUUUACUUACAUAUUCAGGAGAGGAAGAUGGAGUUGCAUCAAGCUAUUGUCAAUAUGGAACGAGGUGGCAGUGCGGAUGGUCUUUUGCAGGUUAAGUUCUGCUUAUUACCUACAAUGAUUGGUUUGGGAUUCUAUGUUAACGUGUCCAACACUGAAGCAUUGUGGAUUCUGUAGGUCCGUGCUGAUCGUAUUCAAUCAGAUCUUGAGGAGCUGUUGAAGGCUCUAACCGAACGCUGUAAGAAACAUGGAAUAGAUGUUAAGUCACACGCGGUGAUUGAGCUUCCAUUUGGUACUGCCUCUUUGACUUGCCUUCAUGAAGCACCUUUUUAGUGAUAAGUUGCUUGCUAUGUUUCAAUAAACAAAAUGCUGUUACAUUAAUGUAUAUCUAUGUACAAUGUGUUAAGGCUGGCAACCUGGAAUCCAAGAAGGAGCAGGUGUCUGGGAUGAAGAUUGGGAUAAAUUUGAAGAUGCUGGUAUGCUCUCUGGGCCUUGGGCUGCUAACCUGAGCCAAUUUACUUCACCUCAUGUUUUCUGAUUUUCUAUCUCCAUUUGUGCUUUCAGUUCCGCAUAUAUGUUUUUAAAUUAUUUAUUUGACAGAGAUCUGAUAGUAUUAUUAUAUGUGACAAAUAUUUUCUUCUUCCAGGAUUUGGUAAUGAGAUCACUUUUGAUGUGAAAAAUGCUUCUGCCUCUCCAAAUACAAAUUCAUCUGUUCAGAUGGAAAACCCUUCCCCAGAUGGUAGUCCAAGUGCUGAUAACUUCGCCAAUGUGGAUGAAAGACAGAGGGAAUUGAUGAAUGCUGGUGAACGGGCUUUUGAGAGUGAAUCUGCAUAUACUCAUAGUGAAGAUGAAUCAGCAAGAAGCCCUCAUGAUAGUCCUGCUGGAAAAGCUGCUCCAGAAAGUCCAUCUCAGAAUUUUUCGGAUGUCUUCAGAAGUUCUGAAGCAGAUGCAGAAACUCAUAGGUGAUGAGUUUGAUUUUUAAUUUGUUAUUGUUGUUUUUUUUUUUAUACUUUUUUUACUUGUGUGUUUUUUUAUAAUUUAUAAUUUUUUCACUUUAACCAACUUUAUCUAUGUUGCUCUUAGCUUAGCUAAUUCCACUGAUUUUUUGUUCACGUGGCAAUGCUUUUUUUUUUUUUUUGGCUGUUUGCAGAAGUUUUGAUGACUCAACUUGGGGUGCAUUUGACAAUGAUGACACAGAUUCAGUGUGGGGGUUUAAUACCAAGGUGAGCUUUGGCCUCCUCUGGCACAUUUUUUAUGCUAAAGUCUGGUUUGAUGGAUAUGUGGGGCAUUUUCUUAAGUUCUUGGCCAGUCAAUAUAAAAGAAUGGAUAUUUUGUUUCUGGAUUCAAGUAUUGGCAAGCUUUGAAAUUCUUUGGAUGUGUCUAUUGCUAUUGUUUGGGCAGGAUUUUUCCUUGUGGUCUGCUAAUUUUGUAAUAUAGUGUCAUCUUGCAUUUUACAGUGUCUUGUUAUUAACAUCAUAUAGAUUUACUUUUCCCCUAUGUUUGAUGCCAUUUUUCAGGGUUCAAAUUCAGACAAAAACAGAGAUUUCUUUGGAUCAAGCAAUUUUGGUGGAAGCCCGAUAAGAACAGAAUCUCCAACUGCAGAUAGUACCUUCCACAAAAAGAGUCCAUUCAGAUUUGAUGAUUCUGUACCUAGCACUCCACUCUCAAGAUUUGGAAACUCCCCACCAAGGUAUAGUGAGGCGUCAUCGGACCAUUUUGAUAGUUUCUCAAGAUUUGAUUCUUUCAACGUGCACGACAGUGGAUUUUCUUCGCAUCCAGAGAGACUCACUAGGUUUGAUUCCAUGAACAGUACAAAUGACUUUGGCCCCUUCUCUUCACAACCAGAGAAGGUCUCUAGGUUUGAUUCUAUGAACAGUUCAAAGGACUUUGGCCCUUUCUCUUCACAACCGGAAAAGUUCUCUAGGUUCGAUUCCAUGAGCAGUACAAGUGACUUUGGCCAUUUCUCUUCACAAACAGAGAAGUUCUCUAGAUUCGAUUCCAUGAACAGUGCAAGGGACUUUGGUGGGGAUAAACUCUCGAGGUUUGAUUCCAUGAGCAGUACUAAAGAUGUUGGGAACAGCCCUGGAUUCUACUCUUUUGAUGAUACUGAUCCUUUUGGCUCCAGUGGCCCGUUCAAGGUAUCAACAGACUCCAAAGAGAAAUCCUCAUUGGAAUCAAGCUCCAAAGAUAAAUUCUAGAAGUACUUUCUGGUUUUCGUUCUUCGGCAGUUCCUUUUCUCCCUUUUGCUUGUCUUUUCGUCAAUUUGUUUAGGGCUUGUUAUGGGGGCGGCCAUUAUUUUUGUGUGUUGUAUAGCUUGGGACAAAAUUUGGACUGUUGUAAGUUUAUUUCAUGUACGGCCUGAUUGAACUUACGGUGACAUAAUUUUUUUAAGAGAGUGAUUUUUGUGGUAUGGAGAGAUAAGAGAAUAUGCUUGUUUGGAGUUUUUUUUUUUUCUGUGUGUNNNNNNNNNNNNNNNNNNNNNNNNNNNNNNNNNNNNNNNNNNNNNNNNNNNGGCCGUACAGCAGGGGGGGGGGUAAUUAUGGAACGUGGUGAGAUGUGUGCUUCUUCCAUUUCUAUCCAGAUUGUAGUGUAAGCUCUGUUUAAUUUAUUAUCUUUGCAUUUGAAGUGUGAUGAGGCGAUCGAAGCACUCAUUAGGAAACUAUCUUUUUUUUUUAAAAAAAAAAAAAAACGUUGGCAUCGCGGGGACACGUCACUGUUCAGAUUGUGAAGUGACAAAUAAUGAUUAUUGAGAGUUAUUUGUAGCAAGCGACAAGGGAUACAGGUGCUAUCUGAACUGUGUUGUAUUGCAACGACGUUUAAAUUAUGGGCGGAUAAAAAUGAUUUGAAGCAGAAACAAAAAGAAUUGCUAAACUUUAUAGAUUUAAAGCAGGAUCAUGAUAUGAGAGGUCGAAUUCUUGGCUAAAUGUGAUGGCAGCGGUUCAAAUCUCUUUAUGGGGACUAAACAUUUCUGUUUUCAAUUUAAAAUUGGGUAGAAUCGAGUAUUUUUUUCGCUGGUUUGUGGGCAGAGCAAAUUUCUCUCCAAUUUUUUAAGGGUUGGUAAAUUUAGAUUUGGAUCAAACCGAUUGAGUUUCAGGUUGAUAAGGUUGGGAAAAAAAUAUUCAAACUAUAUUUAAAUCAGAUCAGAUAAAAAAUUUAAAUUCAGUUACGAUAAGAUCAGAUUAUGAUUAUAUGUGGAUCGAGUUGGAUAUGUGUUAAAAUAGAAUUCCAGUCAAUUAAGAUGGAUCCAGAUUAGGGUAAUUUUGAGCCAUUUUUCUUUUGAGUUUCUUUUUUUGCUAAUUAUUUUAGUUAUUAAAAAAUUGUGUUAAUGCUAUGAAAUCAAAUGAAUAAAAAUAAAAAUAAAUUAUUAUUGUUGGAUCGGGUCGAGUUGUUUACCCAUCCCUAAUUAUAUCUAAAACAUUUUUUUUUUUAAUUUAGAGUCAACCUAUUGGAUUUUUGGAUCCAUUGAGUUUAACUCGAUUUGGCCAAAAUCCCAUCCAAUAAGGUUGGAGCCUCCAACCUUCAUUUGCAUCUGAUUCGAGCCCAAAUUUUUCAGAUCAAGUCCGGUCAUUGGUAGACCCCCUAUUUGUAUGGGAAAAAAUUUGAGUUGUGACAUGACAGACUUGAUCUAGGUGGUUCCAAUAGAUGUCUAAUGUAAAUAUCAGUAAACUUCUAAUUAUACAAUACAGAUAAAUAUCAGAGUUCUAAUUGUAUAAUACAUAUCAAUGAUUUAAAAAAAAAAUUCUGCGAUCAAGAAAAAAAUUGCUGGAUCAAAGAAAACUUAAUCAUAUAGAUCAAGAUGAUAGACAUACGAUGAGCAAGAAGCCAACAUAACAGGUUAAAGGAAAUAGCUUUUAAGUCACAAUUGUAGGGAAAAAGCCCAACGAAUAUCAUCUGUCGCUAUCUGUAGGACUUUGCCUGAAUGCAAUCAAUCAUGUCUUCCGAUGCAAAAUAACCAACCUGUUGAAACAGAAAGGUUACCGAUUAUGCAACAAAAAUAUGCUGUCAUACAAAUAUGCUGACAGAUAAAUAGCAAUACAAUUCAUCUAAGUAGGGAAAUUACAAUAUGCACAAGUCUCAGCUAAGGAUGCCUUGACUACCCCGACCCAACUCUGCAUUACUAGCAUGUUUGAGUCUUAACAGUUCCUUAGUAUGAGACAAAUGGGGAAACUACAAAUCAGGGCCAUACAUACCAAAAGGAAGAAACUUGUUAUCAUCCAUUGGUGUUUUCUAAUUCUUUGUGGACUUGUUCAAACAUAGAAAGCAUUGUUGUGUGCAAAUUUGCUAUUUCUACAAGUGUCUCCAGAGCUGCAUGGAAAAUAAAAUAAGAAAAUUCAUUGCAUUCUAUUUUACAUAUUUUCAUGAGCACUUGUGAUAAGUUACAGACCUCUCUCAAAUGAUAAUUGUGCAGAUCGAAGCUUUGGGGAGACCAGUACUCCGAACACUGACAAUGAUUUUUGCCGCUGCUGCUGAACAUAAGACAGAUGAAACAACAUUUAUAAAUUUGUUCAAAUUAUAAAACUGUAUUAUUCAGGAGUUCAUCAAAUUCUCUGAAUAUAAUUAAUACUGUCAGUUCACCAACAGUUAUGUCAUUUGUCUCUCCAAUGUAAUUUUGCUUGUGCGACAAACAACAAAGGUACACAGACUGAUGCUUCUCUUUAUGUGGAUAUGCAACAAGAGACAUAAUCCAGAAAAAGAUUCAAUACAAAAUCUAAAAUACAAUAUCCUCGUAACAAAAAUUUAAAGUCCUAACAAAUUGAUAGUCGUAACAUAUGCAGAACUCUUACUUGGUCAACAAGAAUAAGUGGAGUUCCAGUCCUUGUUGAGACUUUCUCUUCUUCACAAGAGAGGAAAAAAUUGAAAAAGUGAGAAAAGGCUAAUUAAGGAGAUGUCACGGCAAAGCAAACUCCUGAAUACGACAUAAAAUCAAACAGUGAUUUUUUAUUUGGUUUUAACUGAUACAAAAUUACCCACAAUAUUCCCUAAAAGAAAAUCAUUCAAGUAUAUAUUUUCAAAAGACAUCUACAAAUGUAUUUUAAGUUAUUUACGGAGAAGUCCUGCUUUAGCAGAACCAGCACUGGCAAUGGCCCUAGGUUUGAUUGCAUUCGAAAAUUUAUACAUCUUGUGGAAGAUCCCAUUACUCUACUUCAUUAUUUUAAAAGGACUGCACUCACAUACAGGAGAAGAUAUUAUACCAGAGAGCUGGGAAUUGUUCCGGUGUCGUAGCUGUGGACUUAGAGAUUUCUCUUCUCCGGAAGAACGUUCUCCAUUAUCAGAGGAUGCCCAUUUGCAUAAAGUAAAGCAAGGUUGCGACUCCAUGGAAUCAACUAGAAUGCAUUACAUUUUACAUAAGUAACAUCAUUUCUCAAACUUUAAGUUCUCUAUAACUCAAAAUCUUCCCACUCAUCAUACAAAUCACUAUCAGCUAAGCCCUUAGUGAGUCAAACAAAAAAUUACCAUCUUGUUCAGAUACUUUCAGUGAAGUAGCAGCGGCGUGAACUUUAAGAUCUAACAAAGCGCCAUUAAUGCGUGAAGCUCCCAUUGCAUGCCUGGCGCUUGCCAAUUCCAGCCACCCCUGAAAGCAAUUUUCUUACCAAUUUCUUCAAACUUUUAACAUGUUUAAAAAAAUCAAAAUAUCACAUUAAAAACCCAUAUAAGAAAAAACUAGUAAGAGAUUCGAUCUAUAUAGUAAAGUUUCAGUCUUGUGAAUUAAAACGGCAUGUUUAUUUCUAUUAUUUUACCUGGCUAAGGGUCGAAGAUAAAGAAUCUAAUAGAGUUAAAUACCCAUCCAAUGAAUCCAAAAACUGCAACAAGUACUCAUCUUUGACUUGCUUUUGCCUUCCAAUCCCAUUUUCAGCGUUGCCCUUUUCCUCUUGGUCUUCCAUCAUGAGCAAUACUGACGAGCAAUUCGACCCUUCGAUCAAAAAGACACCCGUGUAAUUAUUUUGACAAUAUCGUGGACUUCUUCGUCACUUUCUUCAAACUAGUCAAAUUAAGUAGAAUAAUUCAAAAUACAAGGACCAUAAUGAAAACAAAUGCGAUCUUUCACAGCUUGUACGACGUUUUCACCGCCUAUGAAUAGAUUAAAAAUAAAAGGAAAAAGAACUAACGAACUGACGUCAAAAGAAAAAAAAAAUCUAGGUUCUUGGAAUCUGAUGGAGGGAAUUGUGAAGAAAUAUCAGCAAAAAUUUAAAAAAAUUAAAGAAGAAAUGAAUCGAUGGGACGAGUUGCAAUCUCGCUUAAUUUCGCAAUUUAAAAACGCUUCUUCAAUUAUUGAAAGAUUGCAGGUCAAUACAAAUCUUACUUAUUGAUUUAAUUUCAAUUAAUUUGCUUAUUUAUCUAUAUUCUAAUCAUAUCUCUCUCGUUUUUAGAUUCUUCAAGAUGCUAAACAUUACGGAAAUUUGAAUUCUAUUGGUGGUAUUGAAGCUGCCGUGUUACGAAAACAAAUGGAGUCUUUGCAGACGAUUUUGCUUUCAAUGCAAAAAACACUGUAAGCUUCUUCUUUUUUCGUUUUUUAAUUAUUAGUUUCAUUUCAUGAAUUGUUUGAUUUCUGAGAAAAUGCGGGAAAAUAAUGUGCAUUAUGAGGUAACAUGGAGUAGCUACUUUGGUUGACUUAUUAGUUGUUUUAAGGAGGAAUGGUGUUUGAUGUAUUGAACUUUAAUAUAGCGAGGAGUUUCGUGGAAUUGUUUUAUCGCUCGAGAAGUUUCAUCGUGAUGGUAAACAGCUAGUUAGAGGUGGCUCUAAUCAGUUAACAGUGAAACAACUGCAGCAAAGAGUUGGUUUGAAGCCAACUCUUGCAGAUUGCUUGGAUGGGCUUAUGAUUCUUUGGGAUAUGCACAAUUCAGAGUAUGUAGUUCUCGAAGUUUAGUUUCAACAGUGUCCUGAAUAUUGCUUUUGUUAAGAUCGAGUACAUUUAGAUUCUAAAUGAAGCUUGCUAUUUGUUUUUUGCCAGGUAUGUGCUUAAAAUAUCACUGGUUUCAACACUUUCCACACUUGCUGUAAAACCCUGGUAUAUGGAAAUGUAGCAUAUUGAUACCUUGUCUCUUAAUUGUUUAAGGGUCAUUCAUGUUAGUGUUAUGUCUUUGCAGUUGAUUCAGUUCACUUUUCUCUAUUUUCAUGUAUCUAUACAUUUUGGUUGCAAGAAUCGUGAUUAUAACUUGAACUCUCUACAAUUCAGUACUUUUGAUCUAGGUGCACUUCAGCAACUCUUGGUUGAUCAGCCUAACAUCCCCAAAGAGGAAGGUAGGAUCUUUCUGGUUUGAAGUGUAUGGAUUUCGCAUAUGUGCAAAAAUUUUUAUUCUGUGUGAUAAAUAUGAGAAAUUAUUUGAAUAUUUAAAUCAGGGUGGCUUCUGUCUUGGAAAUAUUUUGUGGAGAUCAAUAUAAUGAAUUAAUCAUCAUUACUAACCUGUCUGCCCAUCCUUAUCUUGUGUUCAUUUGGAAGUUCCUUCUUAAUUUACAUCUAUUUUGGAAUGACUGAUGAUUGAAAUUAUUUUCCUCUUUCGUAUCUUCUCCUGAUUGUGGCUUCUUUUGUACUUGCCAGUGCAAUACAUUUCUGAAAUCAUAUUUGCAGAAGAAAUUUGUUGACUCUCUUUGUGAUACUGAAAGCCAAUGUCUUGUACAUUUACUGCUACAUGGAAGUGUCAUGAAUUGCCAAGUGCUCUCAUUGUUCUUUGGGAACUCAUGCUCUGCAAUACCAAAACCAGCAAAAUGUUUGUGAUCCCAAAGAUAAAUGAAAUGAUGAGUUGAGUGGUGACAUUCGCGGCAGUGUGAUCCUCAUCAGCAACUAGUCCUUCACCAAGAUUUUCUCCAGUGCAUUAUGUUAAACGAGGUUUUUUCAGCUCACAGUUAAUGUGUAGUUGAUAUGACUUGAUGAUUUACUUAUGAACCAUCAUUUGCUGACCAUAUGUAGACUUUCAAAAGCACACCAUUAUUAGUUAUUUUUCCUAGGAGUUCAUCAUAUUUUAUCACUGUCAACAUGUGUGAUACUCCAAGUUUUCUCUUGAAUUGUAUUAAUAGUCAAAUACUUACCACUAUAUUUGGGCCCUUUUUAACUUUGAAGCUAUAUUGUUUUAUCUUGUACUUUAAUAACUUUUUGUAGGGUAUGUUUUGCUUGUUUUUUAAUUUGUUUCUUAUUUGAUCAAGCAUAUAGGGUUUUGAUACAACAGGACAUGAUUUGGAAUGUUGUGCGUAACACACCCCAAUCAUGUCUUACCAUGUGGGACUUUACACACUAGAUGUGAAUUGUCAUUAUCUAAUAAAGAUCUCUUAUUUUAAUAAAGGAAAAGAUAAAUUUAAAAAAUGAAGUGUAUUUUUUUUAUUAAAAAAAUUACUAUGUAUAUAUUAAUUCAGUAAUGAAAAUAUUUUUAUUUUAACAAAAUGAAAAUAUUAUUAAUAGAUAAGAAAACAUAAAUUUCGAUAUAUUAAUAAAUAAGAAAAUAUAUUUUCUUAUAUAUUAAAAUUUAUAAAUAUAUUCGAGAAUGAAGGUAAAAGGUAUCUUUAGAUUGUAUUUAUUUUAACUUAUAUUUAAAUUUAAAAAAAAAAAAAAAGAAGACUUACAAAACAGUGGAAUAAAUGGAUGAAAUUUUCCGACUAUAAAUUAUAUGAAAGUUAACUUGGAGAGACCCAACUAACUAAUUAUACCGCUCGCUAACAGUCACCGUGGUGAACCAAAACCCAAAAACGACAUCGUUUGUCGUCCGUCUGAAAUUCUGAACUGUGUUCUUGACUUCUUGUCCUGUCAUCUUCAGAGAGAUAUUUAUUAUUUAUUUUAGUUUGAAGUUUUUUUUUUGGGUUUUUGAUAGGACUAAACAGCUGUUUUCUUUUGUUUGCUCGAACAUCGUUGGGGCUUUGUAGUGGGGCCCACUGCUCUCAAAUCUCUCGAUGAACAAUUCUUUUCUGUUCUGUUGGUGAUGUAGCUGGGAGUCAACUUUUUUACGAUGGCUCGCGGUCUCGGCUUGGCUUCCCCUCAAUUUUAAUUUUGUUUUGUUUUUUAGCUGCAGUAUCCUCAUCUCUUUCGUCAACACGCGCAGAAAUUCCAAAAAAGAAAAGUCUUUUAUUUAUUUCCUUUUUAUUAUUUUAAUUUUUUUCAUCUCUCUUCCUAUCUCAACAAGUUCGAAAAAUCGAACCCAAAAGAGAAAGAAUCCCUAAUUCAGAUGCUAUUUCUAUCUUUAAUCACUUAAUUUAACCAAAUGGCCGAAGAAGAAGUGUUUAUCCGAAUCCAUUCCCUAGAGCAACUAAGCUAGAAUUACGCUUCUGUCACAGGAGAAAGGUAUGUCUUAAGUUUUGUUAACUAGAAUAUGAUGAGCUGGAUUGUGUGGUGAUAAGCAUCAAUUUAGCUUUUUGGAUUUUUAUUUGUUUGAUUUAAAUUCUUGAUAAUUGACCCAAUUGAUGACAAUCCUUAAUUUACUUACUUUAUUUUUUUAUUUUUUAAAAUGAAGUUCUGAAGUCAUAUUAGCUAUGGAAAUUUUGAAUUUUCUUUGGAAAAUCUUGAUCGAAUUCAACUUUCCCAUUUGGUUUUAAUGUUCCUUUACAUUUGUUGGUACUUUGAUUCUUGAUGCAAUGGUAGAUUAUGAUGUUAUUCUAGUGCUGCUGCAGAUUUCAGCGACUGAUUUGAUCAGAUGGCUGGAAGUUGGGAUGGAGGUUAUGACUCUGGUAGCCAGUCAGAUGGGAGCUACCACUUUGAAAGACUGCACAUAGAGCCUAUUUACGAUGCAUUUGUUUGCCCUUUAACAAAGCAAGUCAUGCGUGAUCCUGUCACUUUAGAAAAUGGACAAACUUUUGAACGCGAAGCAAUUGAAAAGUGGUUCAAGGAAUGCAGGGAGAAUGGAAGAAAGCCGGUGUGCCCUUUGACACAAAAAGAACUAAGGAGCACUGAUCUUAAUCCAAGUAUAGCUUUGAGAAACACAAUUGAAGAGUGGAAUGCUAGGAAUGAAGCUGCUCAAUUGGAUAUGGCUCGUAAAUCAUUAAAUCUUGGCAGCUCGGAGAGUGAUAUUAUGCCGGCUCUGAAGUAUGUUCAGUAUUUUUGCCAAUCAAGCCGAUCAAAUAAGCAUGUUGUGCACAAUUCCGAGCUGAUACCUAUGAUAAUUGACAUGUUAAAGAGCAGUAGCCGCAAAGUUCGGUGUACGGCUCUUGAAACCCUUCGAAUCGUUGUGGAGGAAGAUGACGACAAUAAGGUUGGUCAAAUGUUUGAUCAUUUUUGUGCAACUUCAUUGACAUAUCUAGCACGGAUGCACUUAGUGCCUCUUCCUUUUUCUUUGUUCUGCAGGAAAUACUAGGCCAGGGGGACACUGUGCGAACAAUAGUUAAGUUCUUAUCUCAUGAACUUUCGAGAGAGAGAGAGGAAGCUGUCUCUUUGCUAUAUGAGCUCUCUAAAUCUGAAGCCUUGUGUGAGAAAAUUGGUUCAAUCAAUGGUGCAAUUCUUAUCUUGGUUGGAAUGACAAGCAGCAAGUCAGAAAAUCUUCUGACUGUUGAAAAGGCUGAAAAAACACUGGCAAAUCUGGAGAAGUGUGAAAACAAUGUGCGGCAGAUGGCUGAAAAUGGUAGACUGCAGCCUCUUCUUACACAAAUUCUUGAAGGUAUAUUUUUCUUUUGAGAAAAUAAAAAAAUUAAAUUUUGAGCGUUGAAAUCACGGAACUGAAUAUGCACCAUACAUUUUUCUAUUGAGGUUUCUUGUCCUCUCUUUCUAUGAUCUGCAUGGUUGAUGUAUUUGCGGCCUGUGAGUUGUAGUUCAGUGAUACAUUAUUUGUUUCUUUAAGUUGUUGAAACAUAGCAAUCAUCUCCUCAAAUUGUUGGUGGUAGAAGCAUCUAUUUAAUUUUUCUUCAGCUGGUUGCAAAUUUUAAAGUGCAGGUUGCCUUUUAUGUUGUUAACAAUCCUACAAUUGGAUGGAUGCAGGGCCACAAGAAACCAAACUGUCCUUGGCUGCAUUUCUUGGUGAUCUGGCUCUAAACAGUGACGUGAAAGUCCUGGUUGCAAGAACUGUUGGUUCAUGUUUGAUCAAUAUUAUGAAAAGUGGUAACAUGCAGGCCAGAGAAGCUGCUUUAAAAGCUCUUAACCAAAUUUCAUCUUGUGAGCCAAGUGCCAAAGUGUUGAUACACGCAGGAAUUCUUCCCCCUCUUGUAAAGGACCUCUUUACUGUUGGUUCCAAUCAUCUUCCGAUGCGACUGAAAGAGGUCUCGGCUACAAUUCUUGCUAAUGUUGUGAAUUCAGGCCAUGACUUUGAUUCCAUCACUGUUGGACCUGACAACCAGACUUUGGUUUCAGAAGAUAUCGUCCAUAACCUACUCCAUCUGAUUAGCAACACUGGUCCAACGAUCGAGUGCAAACUUCUACAGGUUCUUGUUGGACUCACUAGUAGCCCCACAACAGUCCUCAGUGUGGUCUCUGCCAUCAAAAGUUCUGGUGCUACCAUCAGUUUGGUUCAGUUUGUUGAGGCUCCUCAGAAUGACUUGCGUCUAGCUUCCAUUGAACUUAUCCAAAACCUCUCCCCGCAUAUGGGUCAUGAAUUAGCUGAUGCGCUACGGGGUGCAGUUGGACAGCUUGGCAGCCUAAUAAGAGUAAUAUCAGAAAAUGUAGGAAUCUCUAAAGAGCAGGCAGCAGCUGUUGGUCUUCUAGCUGAACUACCAGAGAGGGAUCUGGGCCUGACACGGCAGAUGCUAGAUGAAGGUGCCUUCGGGUUAAUAUUCUCUAGAGUGAAAAGUAUCCAGCUGGGGGAAACAAGGGGCAGUCGCUUCGUGACACCAUUUCUCGAAGGACUUUUAUCAGUUCUUGCAAGGGUUACAUUUGUCUUGUCUGAUGAACCUGAUGCCAUUGCUCUCUGCUGUGAGCAUAAUCUUGCAGCACUCUUCAUUGAGCUGCUUCAGAGCAAUGGACUUGACAAAGUACAGAUGGUUUCUGCAACAGCAUUGGAGAACUUGUCGCUGGAAUCCAAAAAUUUGACAAAACUGCCCGAGUUGCCACCUUCUGGUUUUUGUGCCUCAAUCUUUCCAUGUUUCAGCAAGCAGCCUGUCAUAACUGGAUUGUGUCGGCUGCACAGAGGAUUAUGCUCUUUAAAAGAAACUUUUUGUCUAUUGGAAGGGCAUGCUGUGGAGAAGUUGAUAGCACUUUUAGACCAUACAAAUGAGAAGGUGGUUGAGGCAUCGUUGGCAGCACUAUCUACAGUGAUAGAUGAUGGGGUUGAUAUUGAACAAGGGGUGAUGGUAUUGUGCGAGGCACAGGGAAUCAAGCCCAUUCUAGAUGUAUUACUCGAAAAACGAACUGAGAACCUGCAGAGGAGAGCAGUUUGGGUGGUAGAAAGAAUCCUGCGGACUGAUGAUAUAGCAUAUGAAGUCUCUGGAGACCCAAAUGUCAGUACUGCUCUAGUUGAUGCCUUCCAGCAUGCUGACUAUAGAACACGGCAGAUUGCCGAACGUGCCCUGAAGCAUAUUGAUAAGAUACCGAACUUUUCAGGAAUCUUCCCAAACAUGGGAUGAGUUUCUUCCAGAUGUUUUUUUUUUUUUUUUUUUAAUCUUACAAGGAUGAGCUCCUGUAUGUAAUUCUUCCUUUGCGUAAGCAGUUUUGACAUUUAUGGAUAUUGUUUGUGAAUCGUCGAACUGCAGGUAGAUAUUGUUGUAUAAAGAUGUUCAAUUUGUAGAGAAUUUCCAAUGCCAUUAAUUUGUUCUUAAGUUUACUGUUUUUCAUCAAUUCCACAUCUUCAAAUGCCUUGUCACGACUUACUGCUUAUUGAGUCGGAAUGCGCUUUUCUCCAAAUGCAAAACUAUAUAACGGCGCGGUGUGUUGUGAUCUAUGAAUUUUAUUUGGAUUCUACUCCAUAAGGUUUCCAUACUUUCACACAUUAUCAUUUUCAUCCUUAAAUUAGUUCAUAUUCCAUUCAUUCAUUAGUUUGAAAUAAAAAGGUGGGAAUGUUGACGUUGAAGAAUAUUUACCAAGUAUAAUUAGAUCUAGAUCUCGAGCAUUAUGGAAAAUAUGACUCAAGAACAUAUUGUCAAUGUGCAAUCUUCCAAAACAAUCGGGUCUCCUGUGCUAAUAUGGUUGCUGCUUUUUAAAUUUUUACCUUGCUGCAAUUGUGGGGGCCUCAUACCUAUUUGAUUUUCUUUAAAUCUUCAUGACUUUUUAAGAGAUCUCUCCUCACUCUCAUUUCAUUAGCUUAAAUGUUCAUAGUACGUGAUUCUAAAUCUUAAUUAUGAGUAUUGCAUGGUUAUCACCAGUUCGAAUGUAUUGCUUAAUCUAGGUCAGCAAGGCAACUUUUAAAAUAGCCAAAUCUAGGUCAGCAACGCAACUUUUAAAAUAGCCAAAAGCAUUCAAGUGUGACUUUGAAGUUUUAAAACUUCUCUGUAUGUCUUCCAAGCGAAAGAAACAAGAGCCAGGAAGUUCAACGAGAAGAACAGAUAUCACAUUAUCAAUUUAACAUAAACAAUAAGCUCUUUUCCACCUAGUCAAGACAACACAAACAAGAUUGAAAAACAUGAAUAAUUUAUAAACAGUGGCAAAGAGAGUACAUAAAUGGCUACAUGUGAAACAUGCCUCUUAAAUGAGCCAGGAUAAGAUACAGAAACUAGAGGCAGGUGCCAAGGUUCAAAUCAACUGUACCCAAAGAAUUUGAAAUGAAAUUUGCAGGUUCAAGCCUAAAAUUUCCAGCAUGAAUCAGCACAUACGCCAACAAGAUUACAGAUGUAAAACAGCCAAUGAUUUAGUCAUGCAUGAAGUAGCAUCCAGUUCAUAAGCCAUGUGAUUUCUUGAGAUAUGGCUCCAGUUCAUCAUAAUUUUCUCACUGCCUUGUUUCUACAGCCUAUUUGACCAUCCCCUUCACACCAGGAGACAGAAAGCAUGAAUAGACGACCAAUACAGGACACAAGUUUUGGGUAGUACUCAAUAACACAGGGAGGAAAUGGAGAGGUUUGGAUUCCAAUCCAGAAGCCUCUUUCUAUGUAAUAUCCUGCCAGUUUGUCAGUCUCAGAAUAGACAUAAAAUAUCCCAUUGCAAACAACUCCAGAAGAAACAACCCCAAAAUCUACUGGCAACCUCUGGAUUUCCAUCCAUUUAUUGGAUACAGAAUCAUAUAUUUCUCCAGAAUCCAAGGGCUCAUCCCAAGAUCCCAGGCCUCCUACAGCAAUCAAAACAAACCUUUUACUGGCUUUUGUGAUUGACUGAUCACUUUUUUGUCUAAUAAACUUAUAUGACUUUCUGUUGGGCAACAACGAACCUUCAAAUCCAUCGAAAGAAUUUCUGUAUUGACGCCUUAGUGAAAGCCUAUGAGGAUCCUCAUAAACAUCUGACACCCCACCAAGUCGUGACCUGGGGAAACGCCUAUCUUGAUGACUCUGAUGACAUGGGAUGAUAGAGAACUCCGGACUCACCUCAGAUAUUCCUAAAAUAGGCAUUGAUCUGGCAUAUCUCAUAGAUGCAACUUUCCGCCAAGAUUUAGUUAAGGGACUAAAUACCAAUACCCCUUUGUGCGUCUUAAAUGAACUCCUAUCCACCCUCCCAAAGCUGGUCAAGCUUGAACAACCCCCAACAACAUAGACAUCAUCCAUGAUGCUGACAACAGAGAACAUGAAUCUUCCUUUGAGAAUACUGGCAUCAAUCCUAUGCCACUGGUCUUGAGAAACAUCCAGUGCAUGAAUCUCCCCAGAGCAAUAGCCAUCCUUAACAGCACCAAACAGAAACAACCAAGGAUUUUGAUGCAAACCUUCCCGUCUCAUCUGCAGAAACCGAGGAGUGGUAGUCAAGUAUCUCCAUUUCUUGCACACAAGGCGAGCAUUCAUAAGACUCGUCAAUGGGAGUCUCACCAAGCACAUCUCCAGAAUGUCAUCCGGAAGAAAAAUGUGCAUCCUGCUAUUUCUCACCGAAUCUUCGAGUUCCAAGUAUUUUCUGUUACUUUUCUUCCAAAACUUCUCUUUCACCCCAUAUGAGAAACAAUCCACUCCCACUCCUAUUUCCUCAGAACCACAAAAUGGUUUGUAUCCCUUUCCUUCUUCACUAGCACUUGACCUCCUCCUACUACUCGGAUCCCCACAUUCCUCUCCAGUUUCAGCACCUACUUUGCAACCCCCACCUCUUCCAUAUAAUGUGAGACAUUUUAAAGACACCCCUUUCACAUCAUCCUCGUCAUCCCCAUCAUAGUUUCUUAGAUUCUUAUUCCUCAAUUUUCGGCUAACACUUCUAACAAGCCGUUUUGACACACUCAAAGAUUCAAAAUCCCGACGAAGAGAAUCCUCCUCGCCAGUCGGACUCUCACAAAUCAUUCUUCUCUUUUCCUUACCAAAACCUAAACCAUAUUCUCAUUUCUAUCUUCAUACAAGCUCUUCAUCCAAUAAACCCACAUGAUGUCUGCUUGAAGCACAAGUACACAAUUUAAGUAAGUAAAGGUCAAAAUUUCAAUAAAAUCACACAAACUUAAACAAAAAAGGUUCUUUUCCAUUCUCAACAAAACAGAGAGUAAAAACAAACAUAUUCAAAUUUAUCAACAGAAAUGUACUUACACAUGUACAAAAAUGAAAAUUUUCAGAUCCACAAAACCCUAAAAACGUACUUUUACCACAAAAAGGUUCACAAAAUACACAAUUCAUAACGCUCAUUAACCAGCUCGAAUCAUAACCGUCUGAUCAAAUAUCAUAAACACAAGAAUCAAGCAAUUACAAUAAAAGCAGACAGCAGAAACGUUGCGAGAUCAAAACGCAGCGUUUAUGAAACUUACAGAAAUGUGAAAGCAAAAUCGGUUUCUGCGAAGUGGUUGAAUGUGAAAAAGCAAACAAUAUAAAGACGAGAUUCCAGAUGUUGGUCCUGUCCGAGCGGAAGCAAGUUUUAAUUUCGUUUAUUUAUUUAUUUUUUCUGUUUGGUUAUUUAAAUUUAAUAGUAACUAAAAAUAAAUAAAUAAAUAAAAUAAUUGAAACAAAUAGUUAGUAUUUUUGUCCUCCGUGUUCGUGUUCUGUUGGUGCGGCUAAAAUUAGUAAAAGCGACAUAAUACUGAUUAAUAAAAGCGACUCAUCAGCUCCUCGCUUUUCCAUUUGGCAUUCUCUAUCUCUGCUUUCCAUUUUUCGCUUUUAUUUUUAAAAUUGAGUUUUGUUUGUGUACGGGCGCGUCCUUCAACGGUUAUCGUCCGAUUCAUAUCGCAGCCGUUCGAUUGUAAAAGCGGAGGCGUUAUGGGCUCGGGUCCCUGUGGAUUUGGACCCACGCAGAUUGUGAUCCUGUGAGGUAACACUAGUAAAUUCGUUGCUUUAGUUAUGCACGUGCGAGGUUAGGUUGUGUUUGACUGUUUGUAACAGUUGACACAGCGGAAUGCCCGGCAACGAAGGUGGAAGUGAAUUUUCAUCGGUUGCCCCUCACCUCUUAUUAAGAAAAAUCAUUGAGGAUUUAAAAAAUUUUCGUUUUGCUUAACAUUAGAAUUAGAAAUUUGUCAAAAUCGGUUUUGAUUUUGACCACCAAAGCAAUAAUAAGCAAAACUUCAAAAUUUAGUUCGAUAAUGAGAAUGUUGGAAUUAAAUUUAAAUAAUUGAUUGAAUAGUACUCUAAUUAAGUUGUGUGUGGGGCAGUGCACCAUACAUUUUUCAAAUAUUUCUCUUAGAAAUGUAUCCUUAAUCUACAUGUAAGAGAGACCCGAGUCCGUUCUAACUUUAUCAAAAUGUUGAUGAGUAAGUAAGCAUAAUUCAUUUAUUACCUCAAAAUAUAGGUAGUAUUAUUUAUAACAAAUGGUGAUCAACUCCCUCCUAUCAAUUUAAAAACAAAUGGUAAUUGAGUCCCUCCUACUAAUUUAGUCUCACAUAUAAAUUAUAGGGACUUAAUCCACUCUUAUCAGUUUUGGUUGAUAACAUAUUCUAAAAAUAUUAUCAAAAUUGAAAUAAUAAAAAAUAAAUCUUUUAAAUUAUGAUUAGGGUGAUUAAUGUAUGUAAUUAACUACUGUUAUACAAAUUUUAAAA